CGCACGACCGCAACCGCCAGUCAGCUCGCAUCCCCGCCCCCUCCGUGCCCCUUUCCCCCUCCUCCUCAGCCGCCCGGAGCCACACGCCAACAUGGAGCCUGAGGAUCUGCCUUGGCCGGGCGAGCUGGAGGAGGGGGAGGAAGAGGAGGAGGCGGCUGUAGAGGAGGAGAAGAAAGAAGAGACGACUGUGGAGAAGGCGACGGCGUUGGAGGAGCCAUUAUCCUCGCCUGAGACCGUGACGGAGGAUGAGGUGGAAGAGGCGGGGCGGGAGUUGGACUCAGACUCUAACUUCGAGUUCCAAGCUCCGGCGAGCACGGACUCCGAGGACACGGAGGAUCGGGAGGAUGAGGAGUCCAACGCUUGGCUGCAGGCGAGCCCUGGAGUUCUGUCCGCUCCGCCUCCGAUGCCGCCCCCAAGGUUCAGCUUCGCGCGGGGCGAGCGGACCUGCGCGCAGAAAACAGAAUCUUGGCAAUGCCAUCCUCAACAAAGAGACUCUUACCAAACCACGAAUGCUUCUCAGAUGGAGAUUAAUGUGGACCUGAAAGGAAAUGAAGUGACAGACUUUUCCUCUCUGGAAGAAGAUUUACUGAUCCAAUCAGAAGAUGAAGUAAAGGAACGAAGCAGAAAUCUUUUAUGUUCUCCAUUGCUAGUCAUACAGGAUAGCUUUGCUUCUCCUGAUUUGCCUUUGCUGACAUGUUUGGCACAAGACCAAGAGUUUGGGCCUGAUUCCUUAUUUCACCAAAGUGAACUUGAUUUUGCACCUCUGAGAGGAAUUCCUGACAAGUCUGAAGACGCUGAAUGGUUUUCUCGACCAUCAGAAGUUAGUGAAGCUUUAUUCCAGGCUACCUUAGAAGUACCUCCAGACUUCAUUAACCUUAGUAUAUCUCAGCACUCAAUUACAGAGGGCCUGCAGGGGAAGGCUGAUUCUGAUGUCACUACUCUGGAUGAUGAUACUGAAUGCUGUUGCCUAGAAGAAAAAGCUGUUGUGUGCAGUGAAAGUGUUGCUGAACUACCAAGAGAGUCAUGUGAUCAACAUGAUGUGACUGGUGAGUGUGUUCACCUAGCAACUUCAGAGGAUUUGCUUGAUUGUGACAGCCCCCAGCACUGGCAGCCCACUUUACAACAACCACCUGAGGAGGAGAGCACUUUUAAAAAGCCUGUGGGGCAUUCUAAUCUGGGCAUUAAUUAUCCUUUUCCAUGUAUAUUGCCUGAAUUUAUUCCUUAUGAGCCAAUCAGAGAAUCAGAACAUAGUUCUUCAAAUCUUAGAAUGUUGAGGUUCUCUCCUGACACUGUGCCAAAGAGUCUCAAACAUUUAUCAGGAGAUACUUCUAAAGAAGACUUGGCUGCUAAGUUGCAAUCAGGCAUUCCCACUUCUGGAGAUUCAGACUUUGGAUCCAAUUUAUCCUUGUCGUCUGAGGACUUGCCUCAGUUGGCUAUAAGUUCUCAGAAAAAUACUACUGGUCAGCUCAUUGAUACUGUUAAACAAAACACCUUGCCAGUCAUUCAUCAAACUGCAGCAAGUCUGAAAGUCUCACAUUUUACUGAACUACCUGACCAAAAGACUGGGUUACCAAUAGAACCAUCUGCUUCCUACUCACAAAGUGAGAAGCCCAAUAUUUUGUACCGAGAGGGCUUGCCAGAUGAUCAUCUAACAGAUCAGUCACUGACAGUUUUAGCUGUCCUUGGACCUGAUGAUCAGAAGACUGACACAACCGCGGUCUCUUCUUUCUCCUCACAUAAAGGAAAACCCUACCAGCAGGAGUUGCCAAGUAGUUAUCUAACUGAGGAGGCUUUGAAAGUUGUAGCUGUUCCUGGAACACCAGAUCAGAAGACUGGCAGACCAACUGUAAUCACUACUUCCUACCCACAUAGAGAGGAACCUGGUAUUUUCUACCAACAAGAGUUGCCAAAUGGAGACACUCCGAAAGUUUCAGGUGUUCCUGGGCCACCUGACCAGAAGAGUAGGACACCACGUGUAACCCCUACUCCUUACUUGCAAAGUAAGAAGCCCAGUAGUUUAUACCAAGACAGCUUGCCAGAUGGUCAUCUACCUGAAGAGUCAUUGAAAGUUUCAUCUUUCCCGGGAUCAGUCGACCAGAAGACUGGCAUACAGACUAUAAUCUACCCACAAAUAGAUAAGCCUGAUUUUUUCUACCAACAGGCUUUGCCAGACAACCAUCUAACUGAAGAAACUCUGAAAGUUUCAGUUGCUCCCAAACCAGCUGAACAAAAGAUUGGAAUAAUUCCAGUAUCCUCUACUUCCUAUUCACAUGGAGAAAAGUCCCAUACUUUGAAUCUACAGGUCUUGCCAGAAAGUCAUUUAACUGAUAAGAAUCUGGAAGUUUUAGCUAUUCCUGGUAUUGCUAACCAGAAAGCAAGGACAGUACCUGUUUCCUCUACUUCCAGCUUACUUAGAGAGAAUAACAUUUUGUACCAGCAGGAGUUGCCACAGAGUCAUCUAACUGAAGAGACUCUAAAAAUUUCCACUGCUCCUAGACCUGAUGACCUGAAGACUGGGAUACUAACACACUCUGGUUUUUACUCUCAGAGAGAGAAACCUGGUAUUCCCUACCAACAGACCUUGUCAGACAUUGAUACAACUAAAGAGACUUUGAAAGCAUCAGCUUUUUAUGGGUUAACUGACCAGAAAACUUGUACACCAGCAGUAUCUUCUAUUUUUCACUCACAUAGAGAAGAGCCCAGUGUUUACUAUCAACAGGAGUUGCCAGAUAGUCAUCCAACAGAAAAGUGUCUGGAAGAAUCUGUUGUCCCAGGACCAGCUGACCAGAAGUCCAGGAUACCAACAGUAACCUCUGUUUCUUAUUCACAUAGAGACAAGCCUGGUUCCUAUCAGCAGGUCCUGUCAGAUAGUCAUCUACAUGAAGACACUGUCAAAGUUUCAGCCAUUUCUGAACCAGCUGAUCAGAUAUCUGGUAUACCUACUCUAACGUCUGCUUCCUACUCAUAUAAAGAGAAACCUAGUAUUUUCUAUCAAUGUAAGUUGCUAGACAGUAAUCUAGAAAGGGCCCUCAAAGUGUCAUCUGCCCCUCAAGCAGCAGAAUUGAAGAUUGGGACACCAAUAGUGUUCUCUGCUUCCUACUCACAAAUAGAUAAGCCUGGUGUUUUCUCUAUGCCAGCGGUGCUAAAGAGUCAUCAAACUGAAGACAUUUUGAAAGUUUCAUCUGUUCCUGGACCAGACCAGAAAGGUGGCAUAUCAGCUGUAACCUCUACUUCUACCUUGUAUAGAAAGGAACCUGGUAUUUCCUCUCAGCAAGAAUUACCAGAGAGUUAUAUAUCUAGAGAUUUUCCUAGACCAGCUGACCAGAAACCUGGAACACCAGCAGGACCUUCAGAUUCCUCCUCACUUGGAAAGAAACCCAUUAUUUUCUACCAACAGGUCUUACCAAGUAGCUGUCAACCUGAAGAGGCUCUGAAAGUUUUAGCUGCAUCUGGGACAGUUGGACAGAAAACUGGAACACCAGCAGUAUCCUCUGCUUCCUACUCACAAAUAGAUAAGCCUGCUGUUUUCUGUAAGGAGGUCUUGCUAAAGAGCCAUCAAACUGGACCAGACCAGAAAGGUGGCAUAUCAACUCUAACCUCUACUCCCACCUCACAUAGAAGGGAACCUGGUAUUUCUUCCCAACAAGAGUUAUCAGAGAGUUAUGUACCUAGAGAGUCUCCAAAAGUUUCAGCUUCUCCUAGACCAGCUGAUCAGAAGACUGGGGCACCAGCAGGACCUUCAGAUUCCUACUCACUUAGUGAGAAACCUAUUAUUUUCUGCCAGCAGGUCCCUCCCAGUAGUCAUCUACCUGAAGAAGCUCUGAAAAUUUUAAUUGCUUCUGGAACAGCUGAACAGAAGCCUGAAACACCCACAGGACCUUCAGAUUCCUACUCACUUGGAGAACAGCCCGUUAUUUUCUGCCAACCAGUCUUGCCAAGUAGUCAUCUACCUGAAGAGGCUCUGAAAGUUUCAGCUGACUCUACAAUAGCUGAACAGACCCCUGCGACACCAGCAGGAUCUUCAGGUUCCUACUCUCUUGGAGAGAAACCCAUUAUUUUCUGUCAGCAGUUUUUGCCAGGUGUCCUUCAACCUAAAGGGAUUUUAAAAGCUUUUGCUUCUCCUGGGCCAGGUGACUUGAAGACUGAGAGGUCAACAAUAUCCCCCACUUUUUACUCACUUAGAGAAAAACCCAUUACUGUGUACCAGCAGGCCCCGCCAGAUAGUGAACUUACUAAAGAAGGUGUGAAAUUUUCAGUUGUUCCUAAACCAGCUGAUCAGAAGACUGGGAUCUCAUCUACUGUAACUUCUUGCUACUCAGAGAGAGAGAAGAAUAUUAUUUGUUACCAGCAGGAGUUGCCAGAUAGUCGCCUAACUGAGAAAGUUUCACUUGUUCCUGGAUCAGUUUGCCGGAAGACUGAGACACAAACAGUUUCCUCUCAUUCUUACUCGUACUCUACUGGUUUUUAUGAGGAAGUAUUUCCAGAUACGAAUGAAAAAGCUUCAGAAGUGUUGGGUGUUCUUGGACCUGUUGAAAAGAAAACUGGAAUACAAAUAGUGUCCUCCACCCCUUACUCAAAUAGAGAGAAGCCUGUUACUUCUUACCAGAAAGUAUUGUCAAGUCCUAAUGGAGAAGCUCUGAAAGUUGUAGGUGUUCCUGGACCUUCUGACCAGAAGACUGCGUUAUAUGCAGUCCCGUCUCCCACCUACUCACAAGGAGAGCAAUCCUUCAUUUAUUACCAGCCAUACGAGAAUCUGCCAGAUCUUCCUGAAGAAGCCUCAAAAACAAAAGAGGUUUCUGGAUCUGCUAGUCAGAAGCCCUCAAUACAAACAGUGUCUUCUGCUUCCUGUUCACAUGGAGAAAAGCCCAGUGAUUUUCAUCAGCAAGAGUUGCCAAAUAUUACUGAAGGUGCUUUGUAUGUCAUUCUUCCUGGAACAGAUGGCCAGAAGUUUAGGAUACCAACAACACCUUUAAGUUUCUACUUACCUGAAGAGAAAUCCAAGAUUUCAACUGUAAAUAUACCAGAAGACCAGAAGACUGAGUCACCAAUAACUACACAUAGUUCCUACUUGCAGAAAGAGAAACCCAAGAUUUCACCUGUGAUAGCCUUAAAUGACCAGACAACUCCAUCAUUGACAGUUUUUCAUAGUCUGCAUUCUCAGAGAAUAAAAUCUCAACAGCAGAUGCCAGAUAGCGGAGAUACUCCAAAGAUCUCAACUGUCCCUGAACCAACUUACAUAAAUACUGGGAUACCAGUAUCUCUCUCUGGUUCUUAUUUACACAAAGAGAAAUGUAAUACUUUCUAUCCACAGGAAUUGCCAGACAGAUACCUAACUAAAGAUGCACUAAAAGUUUCAACAAUUCCUGAGCCAGCUGAUCAGAAAGUAGUGUUGCCAACAUCUGCUACUUCUUUUUCAUACUGUGAAAAGCGAAAUGUCUUCCAUCAGAAGAAUGUGCCAGGUAGACAUGUAACUGAAGAUGUUCUGAAAGUCUCAACUCGUCUUAGGCAAGCUGACCAAAUUACUGAGUUACCAGUAGUUUCUCCUGAUACUUGUUUACCUGAUGGGAAACAUAAACUUGUUUCAGAACAUGUCCAAAAGCUACUAAAUAAUUUGAAUUCUUCUGAUGUCAGGCCAAAUGAUAUGCCUUUACAUUCUCAGGUUGAUGAUGGAGUUGUAACUAAGCCAGAAUCUUCAGGUUUUGGAGAUACUGGUUCUGAGGAGAUCCGGGGUACACAAAAUAGUUCUAAAACUCUUAAAGAAAUUCGGACACUUUUAAUGGAAGCAGAAAAUAUAGCACUAAAACGUUGCAACUUUUCUGCUCCCCUCAUUCCCUUCAGAGAUGUUAAUGAUAUUUCAUUUAUACAAUCUAAGAAGGUGGUUUGCUUCAAGGAACCCCCUACAAUUGAUAUAUCUAAUGGUGAUACGCUACAAAGAGAACCAUUUACAGAGGAUAACCCAAACAACAGGUACAUACAGAAGGAUAUUGGCACACAAACUAGUUUGAAAUGCCAGAGAGGCAUUGAAAAUUGGGAAUUUAUUACUUCAACUACAAUUAGAAAUCCUUUACAGGAAACAGAAAGCAAAUCCAGGGUGGCAUUAGAGGAAACUCUUAGGCAAUAUGAAGUGGCCAAGUCUGUAUUAAGGUCUGAACCUGAAGGUUAUAGUGGAAGCAUUGGGAAUAAAAUUAUUAUCCCUAUGAUGACUAUCAUAAAAAGUGAAACAAGUAGUGAUGCAAGUGAUGGAAACGCUUCCUGCUCUUGGGACAGUAAUUUUCCAGAGUCUUUGGAGUCAGUUUCGGAUGUUUUUUUAAACUUUUUUCCUUGUGCUUCAUCCAAGGCAAGCCUAACAGAUAGCAGAGAGGAAGAGGGUGUGUCAGAGAGUGAGGAUGGUGGUUGUAGUGUAGAUUCACUGGGUGUACAUGUAAGAAACCUUCUGCAUUGUGAAUCCUCUUUGAAUCACGCCAAGCAAAUACUUAAAAAUGCAGAGGAAGAGGAAUACCGGGUACGUAAAAGAGCUUGGAAUCUGAAGCUUAAUUUGGCUAAUAACCCUGGAUACUCCAUAUCAGAAUUAAAUGAAGAUGACAGGAGGAAAGUAGAAGAGAUCAAGGCAAAGUUGUUUGGUCAUGGUAGAACACCUGACUUGUCUGAGGGUUUACGGAGUCCACGGGGAAUAGCAAGCACACCUGAACCUGUAUGCAGUCACAUUAUUAUUGAGAGCCAUGAAAGAGGAUGUUUCAGGACUCUGACUCCUGAACAGCCACAAUUGGACAGCCACUCUUGUGUUUUUAGAUCUACUGAACCCUCAGAAGUGAUCAGAGGACAACCGUGCCCAUCACCAUGGAGAACCAGACACAUCAAUUUUUCUAAAUCACUAGACCAGAACAACUCACAUUUUAAAGUUUGGAAUUCCUUGCAGUUACAAAGUCAUUCCCAAUUUCAUAACAACAUCAGCAAGGGUUUUCGAGCGCCGUCUUACGAAAAAUCGGAUCCCUGGCUGUCAGAAUUAGUAGGACCUGCUUGUGUGGAUUUUCAUUCUUCAACACAAAUACCUACCCCUGAGCCCAUGAGACAGUUUACUACCUCCAUCACAUUUUCAUCUCACCGACAUUCUAAAUGCAUUUCAGAUUCCUCUGUUUUUAAGGUUGGUGUUACUGAAAGUAGUCAAGGUACUGGAGCAUCUGUGGGGGUAUUUAAUUCUAAUGUCACUGAAGAGCAAACUCCUCCUAGAGAUCUUAAACAGAAAAGUUCUUCCCCUUCAUCACUUAAAACACUUAGUCAUUCACCAGAUAAAGAUGUGAUCAUUGUACCAGAAGGUAAUAGGCAAAGUAAAAAGUCACCUGUUGAUUUUCAGCAUUCUCAUGAAGAAGAAAAACUCUUAGAAAGAUCAGAUUUUAAAGUCAACCUUUUUAACCCUGGUAGCAGGGCAAAUUGUAGCCAUUUCAAGGAAGUUCAGUUUUCUGAUAGUCAUACCCUCGUUAGCACAAGCAGACCAAAUUCCACACUAGGAGUAAAAGAGAAUAUAACUAUAACUCCAGAUAUUCCUUCACUUAUUUUUCUUGAACAACAAGAGCUUUUUGAACAAAGCAAAGAUCCACAUACAGAUCACCAUCAGCAAAAACACCAUUCACCCCCUUGUCCAAAUGUUCCUCCUUGCAUUUUUCUUGAACAAGAACUCUUUGAGCAAAGCAAACUCCCACAUAUAGAACAUGUAAAUCAUGAGAUGAGAGUAAGCCAUUCUUCCUUUCCCCAUUGUCAGGAUUAUAUAGCUUCAGACCUUCCUUCCAUUUUUUUCAAACAGCAUCAAAGCAAAAUCCCUAGUGUAGAUGACCACAAGAAGAAAGACCAUUUUCCUCUCUCUCAAGGUCAGGAUUGUGUAGUAGAAAAGAACAAACAUACACCUAAAUCACAUGUUUCUAAUACAAAUGUUGAAGCUAAAUUCAAUAAUGCAGUCUCCCAUUUAUCACCUGAUCAUUAUACAUUAGCAACAUCUGCAUCUGCUCCACCUUCAAAUAGAAAAGCACUUUCCUGUGUUCGUAUCACUCUUAGUCCCAAGACUACUUCCAAGUUGGAUAGUGGAACCUUAGAUAAAAGAUUUUAUUCAUUGGAUCCUGCUUCUAAAACAAGGAUGAAUAGUGAGUUUAACUCUGACCUACAAACUAUAUCUUCGAGAUCAUUGGAACCAACCUCCAGAUUAUUGACCAGUAAAUCUGUAGCACAGAAUCAAGAAUCUUUAGGUUUUCUAGGAUCUAAAUCUUCACUGGACUUCCAAGUUGUACAGUCUCCUCUUCCAGAUAGUAAUACUAUUGCUCAGAACUCGAACACUGUACCUUCUCAGAAUAGCCAGAUAACAACCUCAAGGCAAAUACAAGUGAACAUUUCAGAUUUGGAAGGAUAUUCCAAACCAGAAGGGACUCCGAUAUCUGCAGAUGGUUCACCAGAACAGAAUAAGACCCAAUUUUCUGCCUUCUCUGGAAAGUUAUCAUCUGAUGCAGUCACUCAGAUAACAACAGAAAGUCCAGAAAAGGCUGUGUUUUCUUCUGAGAUUUUUAUUAAUGCUGAAGAUCAUGGACAGGAAAUUCUAGAGUCCACUACCCAAAAGCUACAGAAAGUUCCUGUCAGGUUUGCUUCAUCAUCUUCCGUGCAACAGAUUACUUCUAAUUGUGGCGCAGAUGAAACAGAGGUUAUCCUGGAUUUACCAUUAUACUCAAUGGGAAAGAACAAAAAGCACGGAGGAACAGCCCAGCCUAUACUAUUGCCAUAUAAGCCGUCUGGUAGUCCGAAGAUGUACUAUGUUCCACAACUACAAGCAGUUCAUCCAAUGCUGGAUUCCAAAUCAGACACCACUAUUGAGAGCACACAUUCAGGAUCCAAUGAUGCUAUUGCUCCGGAUUUUCCAGCCCAGGUGCUAGGCACAAGAGAUGACAACCUCUCAUCCACUGUGAACAUUAAACAUAAGGAAGGGAUCUAUAGUAAGAGAGCAGUAUCUAAGGCAUCCUUGUCAGUGGGGAAAAAAAUCUUUGAGAAAGAUAAUGCAGAAGCCUCAGUUCAAGUAUCCAUUACUGGGGAUGAGAACCUGUCAGAUAAAAAACAAGAAGAGGAUAUCUUCAGUCAAGGGAUAGAGACUAAGACUGCCAGGCCUGAAGAAAAAGAAUCCUUGCAAAAAGACACUGCAGGUACCAGUGAUACUACUCCUGCAGAACACCCAGCACAAGUACAAGACACAAAGGUUGAAGACGCUAAACAGAAUGAGACUGAUAUUAAGGGGAACAUUCCUAAAGAAGCCUGGACAGAGGAGAAAGAAUCCUUACACAUAGAUAUUUCAGAGUCUGAAUGUCAUUCAGAAUUGGAAAAUACUACUCAUUCUGUCUUCAGGUCAGCCAAGUUUUACUUUCAUCGUCCAGUGCACCUACCAAGUGAUCAAGAUACUUGCCAUGAAUCUUUGGAACAGAGUAUUUUCAUGAGGCAAUCUUGGAACGAUUUUUUUCAGCAUCAUUCAGAUAAGCAUAAAGAAAACACUUGUCCUUCUCCGCCUUAUCAAAAUGUGGACAAGACUAAAGCCGAUUAUCCUAGAAUAAAGAGCCUCAGCAUCAAUGUGAAUUUGGGAGACAAAGAAGUGAUAUGUACUACUAACAGCCAGGACAGAGACCAUCCAAAAAGUAACAUACAGAUUAAUGAUUCACAGAAGAACUGUAAGAUUACCUCAGAGCUAACGACUCAGCAUACUAUGAGUUUGAAUGAACUCUGGAACAAGUACCAGGAGCGACAGAAGCAACAAAAACCUCCUGGUGUCAGUGACAGGACAGAACUGUCCUUAGUGGAACGACUUGAUCGGUUGGCUAAACUUCUUCAGAAUCCCAUCACAAAAUCUCUCCAGGCCUCAGAAAGAGUGCAAGAUGAUAGUAGAGAGGAGCAAGAUAUCAAAGAAUGGACUGGUAAACAGAAACAGCCAAAAAGCAAACUCCAGAAAAAGCGGUAUAAAAGCCCAGAAAAAGGGCAUAAAAGCAUUGGUGAUCUUAAAAAGCACAAGGUACUUUCUGCUAACCAAACUGGGGGGCCCAACCAGAUUAAAAUUGAACAGAUUAAAUUUGAUAAAUAUGUUCUGAAAAGACAGCCAUGCUUCAAAUCUGUCAGCAACACAUCUUCAGAUUCUAGGCCCUCAGAGGAAAGUGGGUUGCUCACAGAUACUCCUACCAACGUUUGUUCUACCUCUACUUCUGUGGACUCAGAUAUGUUGACCCAAACAGACAGAGAGGUGGCUUUGCAUGAAAGGAGUAGCUCCAUUUCCACCAUUGACACUGCCCGAUUGAUCCAAGCUUUUGGCCAUGAAAGAGUAUGUUUGUCACCCAGACGAAUUAAAUUAUAUAGUAGUGUCACCAACCAACAGCGGAGAUACCUUGAGAAGCGAUGCAAGCAAAACAAGAAACCAUUCAAUACAGGUCAUCCCCAAAUGACUGCUGAGCACACCAAAAGGAAACACAUCCAGAUGUCACACUAUAUUUCUUCUGACUCAGUUUCAUCUGCCAGUAGCUUCUUGAGUUUGAACUCUACUCUUUGCAGUGAAAACCAUAAGCACAUGUUAAACAAGGGCAUACAGGCAGGUAAUUUGGAGAUUGUGACUGGUGCUAAAAAACACACUCGUGAUGUUGGAGUGACUUUCCCAACUCCUACUUCCAGUGAGGCUAGAUUAGAAGAGGACAGUGAUGUAACUUCUUGGUCAGAAGAAAAAAUUGAAGAGAAAAAGCUCUUUACGGAUUAUCUUGGGGACAAAAAGUUACGGAAGAACAGGCCAAUUUCCUAUGAAGGAGUUUCAUGGUUUGUUCCCGUGGAAAAUGUGAAAUCUGGAUCUAAGAAGGAAAACAUGCCCAAGGUUUAUAGCCCUGGCAUCUCUUGGUUUGAACCAGUAACCAAAACCAAACCCUGGAGGGAGCCACUACGGGAAAAGAACUGGCAGGGACAGCACAUGAAUUGUCAGGGAUCAGUCGCUGACCAAGUCAGAGAUGAUGGCCGAGGCUCUCCAAGGCCAUUUGUGAAAGCAACUCUACAGGAAUCACUUCAGUUUCACAGACCUGACUUUAUCUCUCGCUCUGGGGAACGUAUAAAGCGUCUGAAGUUAAUAGUCCAGGAGAGGAAGCUGCAGAACAGGUUACAAAGUGAACGGGAUGCACUGUUCAACUCCACGCGUCCCCUGCCUAGGAGAGUCUUCCUUGCUGCCCAGAAGAAGCCUGUUGGGAAGAAGGAGAUGAUUCAGAGGUCUAAACGGAUUUAUGAACAGCUUCCAGAAGUACAGAAAAAGAGAGAAGAGGAGAAGAGAAGAUCAGAAUAUAAGUCCUACCGGCUGCGUGCUCAACUGUAUAAAAAGUUCAAGAGCAGCAGAUACUGGUGCACUCCAAAUGUCCAUCUAAGCACCUUGAGAAGCUGGAAGUCAUGCCUGGUGAAUGCUUAUCCUCAACCUCAGAGGCAACUGGGCAGCAUAUAAACUACAACUGAAAAGUGAAGGGACCACAUGAGCCCGUUAAAGAGGGGCAGGUAAGUACCUACAGGGAAUGGUAUGCCCAAAGAACAAAUCCAUAGAUCUUUGAUUUUCAAAAUAGAUACAAAUAUAUAAUUUUAAUAAUAGGAAAAUUGGAAGAUACUUAAAAGACAAAACCACUAAAUUUCUUUUUAAAAUGAAAGGCUAAGAAUUUAGUUGAGGGAAAACAUGUUAAGGAACAAAAUAUUAACUGUAAAAAAUAUUGAUAAAUUUGACAGAUAUAAAAUUUCUUAUCAAGAGACACUAAGAAGGCCGUGAGGCAACAAGGCUCAAAGUGGUAGAAGAUAAUUGCAACACAUGUAACCAACAAAGGAUUUUUAUCCAGAAUGUAUGAAAGGAUUCCUAUGAGUUCUGAAUAUCCAUGAGAAGAGGAAGUAGAUAAAAACAACAGAUGGAUCUCAACGUGAAAGCUGUUCAUAUUUAUUAUUAAGAAAAUACACAUUAUGAGCAAGAAAAAUAUGCCUUUAUAUACUCAUUGGAUUAGCAAAACUACUGAUUUCACAGUCUUUCAGUGUUGGCAAGAAUGGUUGUCAAAUAGAGUUCAUAUGUCACUUGAGGUUUGCAUUUACAAUUCAACAGAUCUAAGUGUACACUUGGAAACAAAGUGUGCAUCACUAAUCUUCCCAGGAAAGUUAGCAACAUUUCCUAACAUAGCAGAAAACUGGAGAUAACUCAAGUCCUUUCAGGAGAGAAUGCAUAAUUGACCAUGUGACUGACUGACUAAGCUGAGAACUUUAGGCAGAAAACUACGGAGCAGCCCUCUUGUGUUCAGAAGAGACACACAGCAAUGCCAUCUUGACAGGCAGGCAUAAGCUCCACAGUCCAAAAAAGAGCUAGGAAUAGAAAACUCAUUGCUGUGGAGUGAUAAAGCCAUAUAUCCAUACAAAAGAAUUCUAGGCAGAAGAAAAUGAACAACCGUGUAUAUCAGCCUUGAUGAACCUUAGGAACAACAUUGAAUAGAGAGAAACUACAUAAUGUGUUGCUAUGAUACUCCUUAUUAUAAAGUUCAAAGCCCAGGUAAACAGGUUGCUUAGGGACACUUGUGAUCCUGGGUUGGUGUAAGGCAGAUAGGUUUUUUAAAACUAAAAGAUUACCUUUUGAGGGAGAAGGGACUGGGAAAGAGACACAGUUCAUUUUGAAAGUCCUGUAGAAAAUGAUACCUUUCUAGUUCUUCACUCAUGUCAAAGAUGCGUGGGUAGUUAGGCAUCACAAUUUAUGUAUAAGAUUUUUAAGGUAUCAGAAAAUUUCUAAUGAUUGAGUAGGAAAAUUAUUAGAUUUGUACCUAAACAUAAUUUGGAACUCUUGAGCAGUGAUGUUAUGAAAACCAAAUUUAUUUUUUCCUUCUCUGUUUUAAGCCUAUAUGAUAUGUGGGGGUGGGGGUAGAUGUCUUCCUUUACAAUAAAGAACACAGUCCCUAAACUGUUCUGAACACUUAAGUGAUUGUACAUUGUCCAGUGGUCAUUUUUUCAUUGAGCACUCAGUCACAAUUAGUGAAAGUAUAAUUAAAGGCCCCAACUUGAGUUUGAACUAAAGCCUUUGCUCUUCUGCAACUGGCCACCACUGUGAACCAUUUGGUACAGCACAGUCUCUUUUUCCCUGCCCAAUCAUGUCACCUUCCUCCACCCUUCCCUUCAUGCCGUACAGCAUCUGUAUGUGACUGCAUGGUGGAGGUGGGGGCCACAGCAUGGCUCAUACCAUAACCCUGGCAGUUCAUUUUCUCAAGUUGACUUUUGAGUGCUCUCAUGGUUCUGAGGCCUCCCAAGUGGAAUAUUAGACCCAGACUCCAGUGAUGUAGGUAAUAGAUUUUCCUCUGGCUUCUACUCUUCUUCCUUCUCCUAAAAAUGGCUUGUAGCAGUUACUGUAUUAUACUCAGAUGAUCAUAAGCAAGAUUGAAAAUAGCUCAGUGCAGUCUCUUUCAGAUGUGAGUCCUGGAUCUAGCCCUGAGAAAACCCUGUUAGCUUUCCAUUGUGACGAAGUAUGUGAGAAAAUCAGUUUAGAACAAAAAAAGAUUUAUUUUGGCUCACAGUCUUCUUUCCAUGAUCCUUUCGCCUUGUUUGCUCUGAGCUGCUGUAGUACAUCAUGAUGGAAGCAUGUGGCAGGGGAAACUGCUCAUUUCGUGGCUACUGGGAAGAAAAAGAGAGAAAGAGGCCAGGGCCCCAGUAUACCUUCCAAAGUCAUGCCCCAAGUGGCUUGCUUCCCUCAACCAGGUUCUGUCUUCUAGUUUCCACCACCUCCCAGUAGCACUAUCAACUGGAGACUAGGCUUACAACAUAGAAGCUUUGGGGGUGGAUAUUUAAGAUCCAAACCAUAAAAUUCUGCAUCAUCACUAUCCCAAAAGCUAGUUGCAUUUCACAAUCCAAAAUGUAUUCAUGUCCCCGGGACGGCAACAAUCUGCAAUCUGUGCCUCCAUUGUGCCCAGGAUGGUGGUGCUGGUGAGUGGAGUGUAGAUCUGUUUUCUGUGCUCCCUCUAUUGCCCUGGGAUGACAGUGCCGGCAAGUGAAGUGCAAGUCUGCACUCUGUACUUCCUCCACUGAUCUGGAACAGCAGUGCCAGCAAUUGGAAUGCAGAUCUGUGCUCUGCACCUCCCGCAUUGUCCUGGUACAACAGUGCCAGAGAGCAGAGUGUAAGUCUGCACGCUUUGCUUUCUCCAUUGCCCUGGGACAGCAGUGCUGGUGAAUGGAAUUAGGUCCCUGCUCUGCACCGUGUCCAUUGCCCUGGGACAGUGGUGCCAGUCAGUGGAGUGUAAGUCCAUGCUUGAUGCCUUCUCCAUUACCCCUGACUGGCAGUAGUGCUAAUGAGAGCAGUGUGAAAAAUCAAUACAGCAGCUACAAGACGAACAUGCUGCUCCCUCUAUUGCCCCGGAAAGAUGAGACAUCUUGAGGAACAGACACCACUUAGGGAAGUCUUGAUAUUAGUAGAAAGAUUAUAUAAGAUCAGAAAUCUAAAAGCAUCAACACAAAAAAUAGGAAAUGACAAGAUGAAAAAGCAAAAUGUGGAGAACUAGGCCUCACAAGGAGGUGAUCUCUGCCUGGAAACUGAUGCCGUGUGUGGGCUGCUGCCAAAGUAGAAACAGCCACACCCAAGCCUCUCUCCAUGAGUUAACACCAUUUGUAGACUACAGAGGGAGUAAACCAAAACUCACAAGGAGGUGAUCCUAUCAUUUUCAUUGUUUUUUUUGGGGGGCGGGUGGGUUUUAUUCUCUUUUGUUUAUGUUAAAUCUGAUGCCAAUAGCAGCUAUUUAAGAUAGCAAGACAUAGUAUGGUAGCCAUUUUGGACUAUUAGCUUAUUUUGAAGUCCUUUAUUGCAUUCAUUGUUUUGUUUUUAUUGUUUCUACUAUAUUCUAUUCUGUUUGAUUUUUACUAUGUCCAAAGGUAUCUGUAGCUAUUUUGAAGACAACAACAGGCAUUAUGAUAAAUAUUGCUGAUUUCAUAAGGUAUCACAUUUUAAAAAAGAAAGCAAAAUACACUGCUUGGCAAGCACAAGGUUGUGAAUUCAAUCCUUGGAAUCAAGAAAGAAAGAACAAAAUGCAGUCCCAAAUACCCAGCUCACUCAGGACAAGUCCAGAACACAGAGAUGGAAGAAAUUGAAAGCUAAGAAAUGAAACUUUCUGAAAUGAUAGCAACAGAAGUGAAAAAACAAAUGAAGAGGCCAUAGGAAAAAAAAUCUCUUAAGGUGCAAAAAGGAAUAACUAUCAAAACACAUCAAAGCAGACACAGAUAAGCAAAGGAAGAAGAUCAAGAAAAUGAUGGAAACCAUGAAUGCCAAACAUAAAGAAAUGGAAUUCAUAAAACAGAUCCAAACAAAACUACAGAAGAUAAGAAAUUCCAUUGAACGUAUACACAGCAGACUAAAUGAAGGUGAAGAUAGGGAUAUCAGAUCUAGAAGACAGGAAUGCAACUAGCAACCAUAAAAAAUGACAUCCUAAAAACAGACCUUGAAAAAUUAAUCCAGCAGCUACAAGAUGAAGCAAAGAACAACAUAAGAUUGAAAUCAGUGAGAAACCUAGAGACAGUGCAAAACCAUUAAAAACCUCUUCACAGAAAUAAUGGCAGAAAACUUCCCAAACAUGAAUAAAGAAUUUAACAUACAAAUUAAUGAAGCAUAUGGAACCCUAAAUAGCCAUGACCAAAAUAAAUCUACACCAAACAUACAAUAAUCAAAUUCCAGAAAUUCAGCACAAAAACAAAAUAUUACAAGCAGCUAGAGGAAAAUAUAUCACCUAUAAAGACAAAUCUAUCAAAAUCACAGCUGCUUCUCAACACAAGAAGAGCUUGAAGUAUUUCAAGCCAUAAAAUAAAAUAAUGUUCAACCCAGACUGAUGUACCCUGCAAAACAAUCUCAAAAUUGAUGGAGAAAUAAGAUACAUUCAUGACAAACAACAACAAGAAAUUCAUGACCACUAAACUGACUCUACAGAAUGCUCUGAAGGACAUAUUAGAAAGAGAUAAUGAAGACCAAAAAUACAGGAAUGUCAAUAGAAAGAAAACAGGCAGGGCAAGAAAUUAAACAUAACAAAGUGACAAAUACAGGGAACAAACAACAAGGAAACAACAUAAAAAUCGAUACAUAUCAGUUAUAAUCAUCAAAGUAAGUGGUCUCAACUCACCAAUGAAAAGAAACAGACUGGCACAAUGGAUCAAGAAGCAAGAUACAACAAUAUGCUACAAUCAAGAAACACAUUUAACCCAAAAAGAAAUUAUAGACUAAAAGUCAAAGGAUAAGAAACAAUUAUCUUUGCCAUAGGAACUCAGAAAAAGGCAGAAGUAGCUAUUCUAUUUGCAGAUAAUGUAAGUUUUAAACCAAAACUGAUUAAGAGAGACAAAGAAGCUCACUACAUACUCAUUAAGGAAACUUCCAAGAAGAAGAUAACAUUCAUAAAUAUUUACACACCAAACACCUAAUCAUAUAAAACAAAUAUUAACUGACAUGAAACAUAAAAUAAGCACUAACACAAUUGUAUUGGGGGAAUCUUAAUACUUCACUCUUGUAAGUAAAUGGGUAUAUUGACUAGAUAAAAAAAAUCAACUAAGAAAUAUUAGAAUUAAACCAAAGUCUGUGAACAAAUUGACUUGGUAGAUGUUUACAGUGUUCCACCCCAAAACAUCAGAAUAUACUUUCUUCUCAGGUACACAUAGGACAUUAUCCAAAAUAGAUCAUAUAUUAAUGGACAAAACAUGUUUAAGUAAAUGUAGAGGAAUUAAAAUCAUCCCAUGCAUAUUAUCUGACCAUAGUGCAAUGAAAUGGGAAAUCAACAACAAAGGAAACCACAAAAACUACAUUAACAAUGAAAAUUAAACAAUACCCUACUGAAAAGCCAAUGGGUCACAGAGAAAAUUGAGGGAAAAAAAUAAACUAUAUAAUUAAAUGAUAGUGCUGAUAUGAUGUAUCAAAACUUAUGGGAUGACAGCAGGUCUAAGAAAUUUAUAGCAGUGAACUCACAUACCAGGAAAACGGAAUAAGCUCAAAUAGCCUAAUGUUAAACUUCAAACUUCUAGGGAAAAAAAAGCAAUUCAAAGGGCUCAUAUGAGGGAUGAAAUUUUAAAGAUACAAGCAGAAAUUAAUGCAGUAGAGACUAAGAAAACACCACAAAGAAUGAAGUAAAAAGUUGGUUUUAUGAAAGAAUAAAAUAGCUAAACCACCAGCCAAUCUGAUUAAAACGAGGAAUGAAAAAACAGAAAUUCAAGCAAUUAGGGAUGAAAAGGAAGAAAUCACAUUGUAAAGAAAUCCAAGAGAUCAUCAAUAUGUACAGUGAGAACCUAUAUUCUAAUAAGAUGGAAAGCAUAGAAGAAAUGGACAAGUUACUUGGCACAACUGAAUUGCCAAAACUAAAUCAAGAAGAUGUAACAUUCUAAAUUAACUGAUAUCAGCCAAUGAAAUUGAUAAUGUAAUAAAAAAAAUUACCAACAAAAAAAGCCCAGGCCCUGAUGGGUUCCCUGAUGAAUUCAAGAAAUUUAGAGAUGAACUAAUGCAAAUAAUGCUGAUACUCUACAGACAUAGAAGAGAAGCAGUACUUCCAAAGUUGUUCCUAGAAGUAUUAGCUUGAUUCCAAAACCAGAGAAGAACUCAAAUAAGAAAGAAAAACUACAGGCCCAUCUCCUGAAUGAACAUUGAUGCAAAAAUCCUUAAUAAGAUAUUGGCAAACAAAAUGCAGCAAAUCAUGAAGAAGAUCAUAUACCAUGACCAAGUAGGAUUUAUCUCAGGGAUUCAAGGGUAGUUCAAUAUAUACAAAUCAAUAAAUGUAAUACAGCAUAUUAGCAAAGCCAAAGACAACAAUCAUGAUCAUCCCAAUAGAUGCAGGGAAAGCUUUUGACAAAAUCCAGCAUCCAUUCAUGAUAAAAAAAUACCCCUAAGGAAAUCAAAUAGAUGGUCUUUACCUCAAUUUCAUAAAAGUCAUCUCUGACAAAGAAACAGCUAAUGUAUUACAUAGUCAAAAACUGAAAACAUUUACUCUAAAAUCAGGAACAAUACAAGGAUAUCAUCACUUCUAUUCAAUGUAGUUUUUGAAACAUUAACCAGAGCAAUUAGACUAGAGAAAACAUAAAAGUACUAAAAACAGGAAAAGAAGUUAAAUUGUCAUUAUUUGCAGAUGACAUGAUACUCUACAUAGAAGGCCUCCAAAACUCCACCAAAAGAGUUAUAGGUUUAAUAUCUAAAGGCAGUAGUAUAGCAGGAUACAAAGUAGUCAAAAGUCAUUAGCAUUCUGGUACACAAACAACAAACUCACAGAAAUAGAAAUAGUGAAAGCACACCCUUCACAAUAACACCCCCCAAAAUACUUAAGAAUCAAUCUAACAAAGGAUGUAAAAGACCUUUAGAGUGAAAGUUACAAUACCCUAAAAAAAAGAUAUCAGAAAAUGGAAAAGCAUCCUUUGGAUAGAAAGAACAAACAUACAGAAAAUGGUCAUAUUCCCAAUAUUUUUAUAGAGAUUUAAUGCAAUCCCUGUCAAAAUACCAUUAUCAUACCUCACAGAUCUAGAGAAAACCUUCCUAAAAUUCAUUUGAAAACAGAAAAGAUCUAGAGAGCAAAAGCAAUUCUGAGCAACAAAGGCAAGAUGGGGUCAUCACUUUCCCAGACCUGAAAUCAUACUACUAUAAUAAAAACAACAUGGUAUGCAAAAAACAAAACAACUGGACCUGAGGAUUAGUGGAACCAAACAGAAGAUGAAUACAUAUCCCAAACAUGCUCAGCCACCUUAUCUUUGACAAAGUAACCAAACAAAUUCACUGGAAGAAAGUCUCUCUAGUCAGAACCUGGUAGGGCCUCUCCCCAUGGCCCCAAGCAGCAGGGGAGCUUUGGUGCCCUGUGCAGUGUGAGCUGAAGGCCUGCACAGAGUAUUCCACCUAGCCAUGCAGCCUUGGUACCCACUCAGGUCCUGAUAAGGGCCCACCCAGUGACCCCAAGUAGCUGGGGAGCUUCAGUACUCCACAGGGCACAAGCUGAAGGCCUGCACAGCAUAAUCCACCUAGUGUGCAGCCUUAGUGCACCUCUCAGAACCUGGCCAGUGACCCUAAGCAACUAGAGAGUAUCUAUGCACUGUGUGGUGUGAGUUUCAGGCCCACACAGCAUAUUCCACCUAGAUGUGCAGCCUUGAAGGCCACUUAGGACCUGGUAGGGCCCCUCCUAGGAAGCCCAAUUAGCUGAGGAGCCUUGGCACACCAAGUGAGGUGUGUUGAAAUUCCACCCAGUGUACUCCAUUCUGGGAGCCUCUGAAUGCCACCAGGACCCGGUAAGACCUGCCUAAUGACCCCACUCAGGUUAGGAAGCCCCCUCCAGUGUAGACAGUCAACCCAGAAAACAACUGAGAUGUUGCAUUUGGCUUCCCUAGGAGAUUACAUUACAGGAAUUGACAAAAUGAAACAUCAAAAUGCAAUCUCAAAUCUCCAGCCCAUCCCAAACAAGCCUAGGAGACAUGGACAUAGAAGAAAGUGUGAGUUACACACCUGAAACUUCUGAAAUGAUAGCAGCUGAAAUAAAGAAACAACUCCAUGAAGCUGUAAAGGAAUUCAGAUCAGAAAUAAUCUCCCAGGUAAGACAAGAAAGAAUAAAUGUAAUGACAGAAAUGCUGAAACACGUCUAAAGAAGACAUAGUUAAGAAAAUAAAAGAGCACUGCAAAAGGAAAUCUUGCAUGAACAAUAAAAGAAUUAGAAUGCCUGAAACAGAUUCAAAGAGAUAUCCAGGAAAUCAAAAAUUCCAUUAAAACCUGGCAAAACUGUGUCAAUGAAUGUGAAGAUAGAUUUUCAGACCUCGAAGACAAGAUUGCAGCUAGUGAAAAGAAAAGAUCUUUUAAAAAUAACAAGGAAUCAGGAAAUAACAAUUCAAUAGUUGCAAGACGAUGCAAAGAAAAGCAAUAUAAGAUUCAUAGGUGUAAAUGAAAAAGAAGGGGGAAACAUGAGUGAUUUAAAAAGAAUAUUUGUAGAAUUAAUAGCAGAAAAUUUCCCAAACAUGGGAAAAGAAACUGACAUACAGAUAAGUGAAGCACAUAGAAAUAGAAUUAGGGGUAGGAGUGUCUCCCUGGCAAGUACUGGGUUGCAAGUUUGAUCUUCAGUACAAAAAAAAAAAAAAAAAAAAAAAAUCCAGUUAGCCAUAACCAAAAUAAAUCUACACCCAGACAUAUAACAUCCCAGAAAUUAAACAUAACAGAAUAUUAAAAAACUGUUAGAGAAAAUCAAAUCACCUAUAAAGGAAAGCCCAUCAGCAUCACAGCAGACUUCUCAACACAAACAAUGAAGUCAACAAGAGCAUGGAGUGAAGUAUUUCAAAUUCUAAAAGGAAACACCUUCCCAUCCAGAUUGAGGCACACUGCAAAACUGACCUUCAAAGUUGAUGGAGAAAUAAGAUACUUCCAUGACAAAGAACAGCUGAAGAACUUCAUAACCACCAAAUCAACUCUACAAAAAAUACUGGAAGAUAUUCUAGAUAGACAUAAAAAUAACUACCACUGCAAGAACACCAACAGAAAAAACCACCAAGCAGGGCAAACAGAGGGGAAAGGUAAAGAACCAACAACAGAAAGAUAACAUGACAAAAGUAAGCCAAUAUGUAUCAGUUAUAAGCAGUUAUGUAAAUGGCUUCAAUUCACCAAUUAAAAGGAACAGACUGGCAGAAUGGAUCAAAAAACAACAUCCAACCAUAUGUUGUAUAUGAGGAAUCCAUCUGACUCCCAAAAGGAAACUCAUAGACUGAAAGUCAAAGAAUGGAAAACAGUACUUCGUGAAACAGGAACCCUCACCCCAAAAGCAAGGGUAGCUAUUAUGUUUUCAGACAAUGUGAACUUCAAACCAAGAAUGAUCAAAAGAGAAGGCCACUACAUACUAGUUAGGGGAAAACUUCAAGAGAAAUAGAUAACAACCUUAAAUAUAAAUGCACCAAAUACGGGAGCACCCAGCUAUGUAAAACAAAUAUUAAUAGACAUGAAAAAUCAAAUAAGUAAUAACUGUAAUGGGAGAUCUGAACACCUAUUGACACAAAGAGACAGUUCAACUAGACAAAAUUUCAGCAAAAAAAAUAACAGAACUAAAUCAAACUUGUGAACAAAUGGAGUUAGUAGACAUGUGCAGUGUUCCACCCAACAUCAGAAUACACAUUUUUCUCAGCUUCACACAGGACAUUCUCUAAAACAGACCAUAUGCUAGCUUAUAGAAGAUGCUUAAGUAAAUGCAAAAGAAUCAAAAUUAUUAGGGUUGGGGAUUCAGCUCAGUGGCAUAAGCGCCUGCCUUGCAAGCGCAUGGUCAUGAGUUCAAUCCCUGGUACCGAUUAAAAAAAAGAAUCAAAAUUAUCCCAUGCAUAUUAUCUGGUCAUACUGCUGAGAAACUGGAAGUUAAUGACAAAGAAACUGCAAAAACUUCAUAAACACAUGGAAAUUAAAUAAUACACUCCUGAACAAUCAAUGGGUCACAGAGGAAACUGGAGAAAUUAAACAAUGUCUACAAGUAAACAAAAAUGCAAAUACAACUUACUGGAACCUGUGGGAUGCAAUGAUAGCAGUUCUUAGAGCAAAAUUUAGUGCAGUGAAUUUCCAUAUCAGGAAAACAGAAUGAACACGAAUAAAUAACUUGGUGCUGCACCUCAAACAUCUAGAAAAAGUAGAGCAAGUCAAAUCCAAAGCCAAAAGAAAGGAAGAAAUUAUAAAGAUCAGAGCAGAAGUUAAUGCAAUGGAGAUUAAGAAAACAAUACACAUAAUGAAUCAAAGAACUGAUUCUUUGAAAUAAAUAAAUAAAAUUGAUACGCCCCUAGCCAACCUUAUUUACAAAAGGAAAGAAAAAACUAAAAUUCAUGCAAUAAGAAAUGAAAAAGGGUAAAAUCACUACAGACCACAUGGAAAUACAGAAGACCAUAAAUACCUACUUUGAAAACCUUUACUUUCAUAGACUCAAUAACUCAGAAGAAAUGGACAGAGUCCUAGAAACAUACAAAUUGCCAAAGCUGGAUCAAGAAGAUGCAAAAGUGCUGAAUAACCCAAUUUCAGUUAAUGAAAUUGAAAAUGUAAUUUAGAACCUUAUCAGCAAAGAGAAACUCAGGUCCUGAUGGAUUCACUGCAGAAUUAUACAAGAAAUUCACGGAAGACUUAAUGCCAACACUCUUCAAACUCUUCAGUGAAAUUGAAAGGAAAGCAAUUCUCCCUAAUACAUUCCUGGAAGCAAAUAUUAUCUAAUACCAAAGAGAACUACAGGCCAAUCUCUUAAAUGAACAUAGAUGCAAAAAUCCUCAAUAAAAUACUGGCAAGCGGAAUUCAGCAAGUUAUCAAGAAAAUUAUACACCACAAUAAAGUGAGAUUCAUCCUAGAAAUGCAGGGAUGAUUCACCAUAUGCAACUAAAUAAAUGUAAUAUACCAUAUGAACAGAGCCAACGACCGGAACCACAUGAUCAUCUCAAUAGAUGAAGAAAAAGCUUUUGAUAAAGUCCAACACUUAUUUGUGAUAAGAACCCUACAGAAAAUUGGAAUAGAUGAUCUUUACCUCAACUUAAUAAAAGCCAUCUAUGACAAACCAACAGGCAGCAUCACAUUAAAUGGCCCAAAACUGAAAUCUUUCAUUCUAAAAUCAAGAACAAAACAAGGCUUUCCACUGUCACCACUCCUAUUCAAUGUAGUGCUGGAAAUAUUAGUCAGAGUACUUAGACAAGAGAGAGAAAUAGAAGGAAUAAGGAUAGGAAAGGAAGAAGUUAAAUUAUCAUUAUUUUCAGAUGACAUGAUACUCUACAUAAAAGACCCCCAAAACUCCAUUGAAAGACUUCUAGAUGUAAUAAUCAAAUUCAUUAAUGUAGCUGGAUACAAAGUUGACACUCAAAAGUCAAUAGCAUUCCUCUAAAUAAACAAAUGCUCUGAGAGGGAAAUAAGAGAAACCACACCCUUCACAAUUGCAUCCAAAAAAAAAAAGAAGAAGAAGAAGAAGAAAUACUUAGGAAGCAAUCUAACAAAGGAAGUAAAACAUCUAUUUAGUGAAAAUUACUGUACGCUGAAAAUUACAAAUCAAACAGGGUCUCAGAAAAUGGAAAGACAUUCCUUGUUCAUGAAUAGAAGAACAAACAUUGUCAAAUAAAAAUAUAGAUCUCUCAGUUAAGACUAAAUUCCAAAUUAUUUUUUAGUUUAGGUCUUCCCUGGGGUUAUAAUUAUGCUAAAAAAAUAUUCACUGUGUGAAAAUGUAUUGAGGUGUCUUGAGGUGUUUUAUCUAGCAAUGCUAGUCCACAGGCACUAGAGUGAAGCCUGAACUGAAGUCAGUAGUGACAAAGAUAUAUGCAAAAGUAGUAAGAUAGAGCCUUCCAGUUAUUGUGGAUUAGAAAAAUACUACAGUGAAAGGAGAGAACAGAGCCUCAGAGAACCACGAAUUGCAUCAGGAAGCAGCGUCCAGGCAGUCUAACAAUGUUGUCUGGAGGAAGAGAGUUGUUAAUGCCUAGAAAACAUCUUAAAUUCUAUCAUUCUUCAGUCAUGUAGGAGAUUACUUGGGAAAGUCAACUUUGGAGGGGUUAGAAGAUCAAGUAAAGAACAUCAGGCAGACAGCCUCAAAGAACUGAAGGAAAGAUGUCAGCAUUUCAUAGUAGGUGAUUCCAUUAGCACGACAGCGAGUAGACACUAAAAUAUUAAAAUAAUAUCUAGAUUUAUUAAGAAUGCAAAGAAACAUUAAACUUCAAUGAGUUGCAAGUUUUUAAGGAUGGUGAUUAAGAGGUAAAGACAGAAAAAUCAAAUACUUUGUGAUUCCAUUUAUGUGCAGUCCCUGGAUUAGCCAAAUUCAUGGAGACAGAAAGAAAGUAGAAUGGUAUUUUUCAGGGUUGAGGGAGUGUGGGAGGGAAAUGGGGAAUCACAGUUCAGUGACAGAGGGUUUUGCUUUGAAAUGAUAAAGAUGUUUUAGAGAUGGAUGAGGUGAUCAUUAUGUGACAUUGUAGACAAACUCAAUGACACUGAGUUAUGUAAUUUUAAAAUAUGGUUCAAAUAGUACAUUUUUUGAGGUUAAAAAACUUUUUUUCACUCUUUAAAAAAUUUUAGUUAAUGAAUGUAUGUGUGUAAUAAAUAAUAUUUACAUUUCUUGUAGGUAGUUAAUAUAAGUACAUAACAUCUUGAACCCUUAAAAAUGGUAAAUUAUGUAUACAUUUUCCUCAGUAAAAAGAUAAGUAUAAAAUUAUAACAAUAGAAAUGAUCACAAAUACUGACAAAUCUGUAAAAUGUAUGGUUUGGAAUGGAAAGCCUAAAUUAAAUUAUCUAAAAUAGAAACAGGAGACAAAUUUCAAAAGUUAAAAGAUGUGCUAUUUUUAAGAUAAGAAAAAUGUAAAAAUACAUGAUGAUGCCAGUAAUUUAUAAAUUAAGGUAGCACACAUAUAAGGUAUGAUUAAAUAUGUGGUGAAUAUUUAAACCUUUAAAAAAUUAUAGCCUCAAAGGUCACAUUACCAUUAAUUCUCCUCUGAAUAUUCCCCCCUCCAACACACCCACCCACCCAGAGUCACUUUCUGAAGCAACUCUGAAGUCUUUCAUGAGUGUCUUUACAAAGAGUGAUCAAAAAUUGUGGAUGAUGCUGCCAAGUGCUAUCCAGCAGAAAAGUAGGCUCAUACAAACAUUAUGGUGAGAACUGAUUCACUUCAUUCACUGAGUCUCACACUGUAUUCACAGCAAGGGGGAAUACUUUAUGUAGAAUUAAAGGCAGUGUCUUUUACCAUACUAAAAGUUUUAAAAUUUAAGCUUUCACUGUAUUUUUCUAUCACAUCUCAUAGUUAAAAAAUCUUUUUUAUUUAGAGAGAAAAAGCAAAACAAAAAAGGAUAAAAAUAAUACAGAAUUUUUAAAAAUAACAGUAAGAAAUCACUAAUUGAUAAAUUACAUAUUGUUAUCUUAGAAGUAGUUGUUCAAGUUACAAAAUCAAAGUAUAAAAAGUGGACAAUCCAACAAUGACAGUACAAAUUAUUCUAUUUGAUAAACUAACAAAAACUUAGUAGAAUGGUUAUUUAUCUUGCACACUUAAACAUACAUACAGUUUUACCUUUGGAGCACUUUCUUUCUCUUUCAUUAUUAUAAUAUCUAUUAUGUAUUUUGGAUCUUAUUGCUCUUUCAGGUUUUUAUUAUUUUUAUACUAGAGAGACAAUACAAUAUUUACAAAUGUGAGUCUGAUUUAUUUCACUUAUGAGGAUAGUCUCAAGUUGCCUCCAUUUAUCUAUAAAAGCCUCAAGAUCAUCUUUUUUAUAGCUGAGUAAUAUUCCAUUGUAUAAAAAUAUCACACUUUUUCAUUCACUCUGCAGUUGAUGGGCAUUUUGUUUGUUUCCAAGAUUUAGCUAUUACAAAUUGUGCUCCUAGGACUCUGUAACAGAUGGCAGAUAGAUAAAAAGAAUACAGAGGCUCCCUGAGAUGAACAACUCAGAUGCCAGAAUAACAUAUAGUGGGGAGGUCCACACAGAGGGAAAUGGAUCCUCUUGACCCAGGAAGAAACUAAAGGGAAAAGAACUGGACAAACAUUCAGUCCUGGGGCUAACAUUGGAGCAGCUAAGAUUAGCGGCCAUGGUGCUCUCUCUGCAGUGCCUGAACUCACUCGGCUGCAACUUUCCAAGCUGCCCAAACUCCCACUGCUUCAAUUGAGCUAACUGAACUACUGCUGCGACUUGCUGGAACCGUGGUUGUGCUGAAGUCAGAGGUCGGCGAGUCCAAUGGAGAAGGGAGCCAGCAAGGGACCUGCAUUAUCUGCGGUGAGUGCUGGGAUAAGACCCUCGCACGGGAAAGAGGCGACCAACUAGAUGGCAUGUUGGAAUCAGGCAGGAUGGGCAGGAACAAGGAACAGCAGUGACUUCAAUCAGUUAUUCCUUUCCCAGACCAGAUUGGUGGGAAAUGGUUGGCCUGGGUCAUGCCUCUGGUUGCGACCCAAUAAAUUGCCCCAAACAAAUUCCUUAUGAAGAGCGCAUACUAAUGCAGUGAAGGUGCCCACAUGUUGACUGAUGUGGAGGGGAGGGGCCAGCAUACACUGCCCCUGCUUGCACCUCAGUGACCAAUAGCAAACUGGAGAGGGCAGAAAACCAUAGCCAGCAUGCUUCAGAAAAACCAUGACCAACAAGGAAAAGGUCUGGGACCUGCGCUAUACACCUGUUUGGAGGAAACCAAAAACAUGACAAGAGAAAGAACAAGAAAAUUUCCCCAGCCCCCAGCCCUGAGAACAGUGAGCCAGGAGAGGUAAAUACAAAAGAGACUGAGGGCAGCAAACAUGCAGAGUCAGAUACAGCAUCAGUGGACGUGAAGAGAUAUCUUUGGAACCUCAUAGAUGAACUCAAAAAUGAAAUAUUUAAUCAAGUAAAGCAAGAUACAAGUAGAUUAAUAAGAGAAAUGCUAAGCACCUCUCAAGAAGACACACAUGGAAGAAUGGAGGAACACAAAAAAAGGAGAGAAACGUUUGAUGAAGAAUAUAAAGAAAAUAUAGAAUACAUGAAGCAGGUUCAAAGAGAUUACCAGGAUGUAAAAAAUUUCAUUUAAAGCUUACAAAACAGCUUGAAAGAACUAAGGAUAGAUUAUCCAAACUGAAAGACAGGUUUGCAAUGUGGGAUCAUGAAAGGAAAAAUUCUUAAAAAUAAUAAGGAAACAGGCAGUAACAAUACAAAGGCUACAAGAAUACAAGAGAAUCUAUAACUUAAGAAUAAAGAAUGUGAAUGAAGAAUCAGGAGCAAAAACAAAGGAAAUACAAAGGCUAUACACAGAAAUAAUUAAGGAAAAUUUCCCAAGCAUAGGAAAAGGAAAUGAUAUUCAGAUAUAUGAGGCAUACAGAACUCCUGCCACCUACAACCAAAACAAAACUAUACCCAGACAUAUAAUAAUCAAGAUCCCAGAAAUUCAAUAUAAGAACAGAAUAUUAAAAGCCAUCAGCGAAAAGAAGCAGAUCCUCUAUAAAGGAAAACUCAUCAAAAUCAUGGCAGACAUAUAGACACAGACCAUCAAAUCAAGAAGAGCUUGGAGUGAAGUAUUCCAACCCUUGAAAGAAAAUAACCUCCAGCCCAGAUUGAUGUAUCCUGAAAAACUGUCUCUAGAAAUUAGUGGAGAAACAAGAUGCUUCCAAGACAAAGAGGAACUGGGGGAAUUCACGACCACCAAUCCAACCCUACAGAGAAUACUGAAGGACAUUCUAGAGAGAGAAAAAAGUACCAGGAUUCCAGGAACAGGGGCAAAGAGGCCUCAAUGAAUGGAGCAGAAAGUGGAUUGAAGGAGAAAAGCAGACAACUAAUGUAAGAAAAAUAGCACAACAGAAAUGAGGCAGAGAAGGUUGGCUAUAAUCUCUAAUAUAGAUGGCCUUGAUACACUAAAAAGAAAGAAAGAAAGAAAGAAAGAAAAAAAGAAACACAGGCAGAGUAGAUAAGGAGGCAGGGUCCACCAAGAUACUCUAUUUAGGAAAUAUAAGGAACCUGAAAAGGGGUUUAUAGACCAAAAAUAAAAUAUGAGAAAAUAAUGCUGUAUAUUACAGAGAACCAGAGAGUAAUAGGGACAACUUGACUAGCACCUGCAGAUAGAUUGGAAAGACAGGUUUGUAGGUAAAGGAAUACAACUUGAGAUCAAGUCCAGGAGGGAGAAGGUUCGGAACCACUUAGGUAAAUAGCAGGUUGCCCCCUCAAUCUAAAAACUGAGGGAGCUAGUGGGACCCAAAAAUGCACAGUGCACCCUGUGGGAGGGAAAGGGGAGGAAUAAUCUAAAAAAAGAAGGUAGAGGAUGUUGUUAAUAGGGUAUCAGGAUUUAAAACUCACAUUACUCGCACCGCUCUGUUUAGAUAGAUUAUAUUCUGUCUCAGUUUGUCUACUUGCACUAGACCUGAGGGCACAGAUAGCUAUCCCCAAAAUAGCAGGAUUUAGUAUGGUAAUCAUCCUUAAUUCCCUAUUAACUUAAGAUGAAGCCCUAUAUGUAACUUACACUGUUUUACCAUGACUGAUUUUAGUUGAAUCCGGUUUGUUAGAUUGCUAUUUGGUAUCAACAGAUUUUAUUCAAAACUGUUAUGAUUGAUAGUAUCAAGUCUGAGAGUAUAGGCAACUACACUGCAGAUGACAAGAUUCACUACAAUACCCAUUCCAGUUUGAUUUUUACCUGAUUUUGAAGUUUUACACUAUCUACAAUGUUUUGCUUUUAUUAAUAUUGUUAUGUACUGCUAUAUUCAAUUAUACUAUGCCUGAUGAUAUAGACAGUUAUAUUGAAGAUCACAAGAGACAACACAGUAACUAAUGUAGAAUACCUUGUAUUGUGGUUUAAUAUGACUUUUUCAUUUCACUUGUUUAUAGGAAUAUGUUUUGUUUUGUCUUGCUUUGUUUUGUUUCUCUCUAAUAUAGAAAGGUUAGAAAUAUAUGUAGAAACUCACGCAUGUAUAGAACCUAUAAACAGUUUAUGAGAACUGAUCUUAUGACACAUGAUGAAAUGAACAACUACUUUGAAAAAAAAAGGACACUACAGUACCCAGUGCUGAUCCUGUAGUGUCAUGAUGUGAAAUCCAGCAAUACUAUUAUUAUUUGUUCAGAGUGAUUUUAGUCUGCUUUACUUUGUUUAAUCUUAGUAUACAUGAAGAUAUGGAUAACUGUAUGUAUGCUUAAGUGUAUAGGAUUGUUAACCACAUUACUAAGAUUUUGGUGGAUAAUUGAACAGAACUGUUUGCAGUCUCACUGUUUGAAUGCCCACUUUGUAUGCUUCACUUUUGUAACUUGAACAACUAUUUAUAAGAGGAAAAUAUUUAAUUAUCAACUAGUAAUUUCUUACUGUUUACUUUUUCUUUGAAAUUAUUUAUUAUUUCUACCUUUUUUGUUUUGUUUAUUCUGUUUAAAUAAAAAAAUGCGCUGCUAUCAACAUGGGUGCACAUAUAUCGUUGUGACAUGACUUUUUCUCUUUUUCUGGGAAAAUAUCCAGGUGGGAGGGGGGAAUAGCUGGAUUGAAUGGAACUUUCAGCCCUAGUUUUUGAGAAAUCUCUAUACUGAUUCCACAGUGGCUGCACCUGUCUACAUUCCCACCAAUAGUGGAGCAGUGUUUCUUUUUCUCCACUACCUUGCUAACAUUUGUUGUCAGUUGAUUUCUUGAUGGCAGCUAUUCUUUCCCGAGUAAGAUGAAAUCUCAAUGCUGCUUUAAUUCGCAUUUCUCAAAUGACCAGUGAUGGUGAACAUUUCUUCAUGUAUUUAUUUGCCAUUUGUAUGUCUUCAUCUGAGAAAUGUGCGUUCAUCUCAGAUGCCCAUUUUUGGAAAGGGUCUUUGAAUUUGGGGAGCUUGAUGUUUUUCAGUUCUUUUUUAAAUUAGUACCAGGGAUUGAACUCACAACCACCUGUUUGCAAAGCAGAUGCUUAUGCCGUUGAGCUAAUUCCCCAGCCCAUGUUUUUCAGUUUUUUAUAUGUUCUGGAUAUAAGUCCAUUGUCUGAGGAAUUGUUGGCUAAAAUGUUUCCCAUUUGUGGGUUUUCUUUUCACUUUGUUGAUGAUUUACCUUGAAGUGCAGAAACUUUUUAAUAAGAUGAGAUUCCAGUUGUUGAUUCUUUGAACUGCCCUCUGUGGGGUUUGUUUGUGUUUUAUUCAUGAGUUCUUUGCCUACCCGUAUAUCUCCAAGUUUCCCACUUACUGUCUUCCAAUAGAUUUAGUGUUUCUGUUUUAAUAUUUAGAUCUUUGAUCCAUUUUGACUUUAGUUUAGUGUGAGGUGAUAGGCAUGGGUCUAGUUUCAGUCUUUGGCAUGUGGAAAGCCAAUUUUCCCAGCACCAUUUAUUAAAGAGGCUAUCCUUCUUCCAGUGCACAUUUUUAGCCCCUUUGUCAAGUAUAAGGUGGCUGAGUGUCUUUGUAGUUGUGUUUGCAUCUGUUCCAUUGAUCCUCAGGUCUAUUUCUUUGCCAGUACCAUGCUGAUUUUAUCACUGUAGCUUUGUAGUAUAAUUCCAAGUCAGGAAUUGAGAUGCCUCCUGCCUUGUCUUUGUUGCUCAGAAUUGUCUUUGCUAUUCUAGGUUUCUUCUGUUUCCAAAUGAAUUUUAGGGAUAAAAAAACCUUUUUUUUUAAAUGAGGAAGAAACUGCAAGGUCCUGACUUUGAAACCAUAAAUUAAGCUAAAUAAUUUUAAAAAGACAACAUACUGUCAGUAGUGAGGACAACAUAAACUUAAAAUCAUCUAAAAGUAAAAUGAGAUAAUAAUUUGAACAUAAGAAAGGGAGGAGGAAGAAAAAAGAAAGAGAAAGCAAGCAUGAUGUGUAUGGGCCAGCUGAAGAGAAGGUGUUGUUAUGUGAAAUUCUCAAAAAAAAAAAAAAAAAAAAAAGAAAAGAAAUUCUCACACACAAAGGUAUUCACAGUAGUGAGGGGUGCAGUGCAGGAUCCUACCCCAAUUCCUAUCCUGUUCACCUUUCCUUCUGGGUCAUACUAGCAAAUGUGAGUUACAGCCUCCUUUCUCUUGAGUUCCUCAUAUCCAACUAGAUUUCAAGUUCAGAGAUUCCUAGGUUACCCAAUGUUUUCAUCAAGGAUUUGAGCUAUCUCCCAAGUGCUUCUGAGGCAAAACCACUCACAUCCUCAGUAGUUGGGGGGUGGAGACCUACACUGCAACCAAAAGACCUCUCUUACCCUUUCAGGUCUCACAGUGUCCCAUGAUGUGCAGUCCCUCGGCACCAGUCUCCCUGCUCAGUCCUGCUUCCCCUGAAACAGGUUUCUGUUAGAGUCAGAGCUCCCUCCCUGCUCCCAUCAGGAUGCUCUACUUUCUUGGCCCCCGCCCCCAGAGCCAAAAGAAUGCUCACUUGUUCCUGUGGGUGCUUCUCUAUUUCAUUUGGCAGAAAAUUAAGUAUCAUGUGACCCCGCCCUCAUUCACAAUCUGCUGAAUUAAAAUCAUCCCAGAGGAGAAAUUCCUGCUGCAGCCGACCCUUUAGCCACUGCUUCUUUUUUUUUUUUUUUUUGGCUACAGACCUUCUCUAAACACAGCUUUUGGGAUUCAGACCUCUGCUUAAUUCCUCUCAUGAAUAAGCAGAUGCCUCACCUCAACAUUCUGUCCUGUCAGCUAAGCUAGUUAAAAAAAAAAAAAAAACCCUAGUUGAGGCUGGCAUGGUGAUGCAUGCUUGUAAUCGCAGCACUUGGGAGGCUAAGACAGGAGAAAUGCUGUGAGUUUCAGGCUAGCCUGAGCUACAUAGUGAGUUCAAGGCCCGCCUGAACCACAUAGUGAAACUCUGUCUCCAUAAAUAAAUAAAUAAAUAAGUAAAAUGUUCGCAAGCCUGUACUUCCUGCAUAGUUGCUCCUAAAAUAAAAUAAACUUCUUACAACAAUAUCCAUUGUUAUGGUCUAUGUCUGAAUGUCCCCUCAAAGCCUCAUGCAGUGAUUGUGGGUGAGCUUUUCAGAGGCGGCUGAAUCUAGGAUUUGUGAUUGAUUGGCAGUGCAAUACUGGCAUUGUGAGUAUGAGUGCUACACCCACUUGGGGUGGGUAGUGUGCAUACAAUAUAAGGGACAGAGUCUUGCUGCUUUUGCUGCCUUUCACUGCCAUGAAUGGUUGCCCUUCCCCAUGUCACUCUGCUUCGGAGCCAGCCAAUUAUGGACUGAAACCUCUGGACAAACUGUGAGCUAAAUAAAUCUUUAACUUGGGGUAUCAGGUAUUUUGUCUCAGCAAUGAAAAAAAUAACUAAGACAAUCUAUAGUAGCAAAAUUUAAAUCAGGUUGUUUCUAAUACACAAAUCUGAAUACUUGUACAUUGAUUUUGUUCAGAAGGUCAACCAAUAAGUUUAUGCACAAAGUAACUUAUGAACACCCUCCUAUAUCUCCCCAAUUUAAAGUUCACUUUGUCUCCACUUUAAGUAUUGAUUUCCCCAUCCCUGAAUUCAACAAUUAUUUUCUGUUUUAAAAACAAAUUAAUUCUUGUGAAGCAAUGGGGACAGUGAUGGUGUUCAACAAUAGUUGAGUGGUAAAAUAAAAUGCACCAUAUAUGUGCAGUGACUUUUUAAUCAGAUUUUAUUGAUGCAUAGAUGUACAUGAUGUACAUCUAUGUACAUAGAUGUACAUGAUGACCACAUUCAUCACAGGGAAUCUGCGCCUGUCAUGACACAACUUCAUUCCGUUUUCCCAUCCUCUUCCCUCUCCUCAACGCCUCCUUCCCUCUCUAUUUACAAAAGCUUUGUUUCCAUUUUGUCCUUCUUUUCUCUUUUUUAAAACUUUUCCUCUCUUUCCUUUCUCCUUGACCCCCUCCCUCAAUCCCAUUCCCAUUUGAACAUUUUCUUCCUAUUUCACAAUACUUAAUAUACAUUUUGGUCCUUAUUUACACUUUCACUUUCUCACACCAGAGAAACAAUGCCGUGUUUACAAAGGUGUGUAGUGGACUAACUUUUGAUCUUUAAAAAUGAAGGGAAUUUAAUAUAUCUUAUGACCUGAAUGAAACUCAAAAACAUUGUGCCAAGUGAAAGAAGCCAUACGUAGGAAAGUAAAUUUUGUUUCAUUCACAUGAGGUACACAAACCAGGCAGCCCCAUAACAGAGGUUUUUAGAGACUGGAGAGGGGAGGAAGCAGGGAGUUACCACCUCACGGAAGCAGGUUCUGUCUGAGAUGAUGAAAUACAGACAGUGGUAGUGGUUCUACAACUUUGCGAAUGUUAGUAUCAUUGAAUAUGCACUUUAACAUUAUGCAUAUUUUAUCACAAUUUUUAAAAACUGUAAAUAAAGGGAAAAAGGAGGGUGAGUAGACGGUAGAAGGAGCUCAGGCUGGAAGACUUCUAACAUGUACCGCAAUCUUGCGUAUACACACAUGUGCAUAAACAAGUACGUGUCCUGGAGAAGCAAAAGCAAAAUGCAACCUUAACUCUUGUUUAAUCGUAAACUAUUACAUAAAAGGAAAUAUUAAUAUCUUUAAAUGUUUACAACAUUCAAAAUAAAAUCUGAUCCUUCAAACUGAAUAGAUUACUUAUUAGCUUAAGAAAGGGGAAUUUGGAAUAAGCAUUCUAGAUUUUCUCAUUGCUGGAUCAAAAUCACUGACCUCUAAACUUUUCUUGGACUAUGCCCUCCCUCCUUUCUACCUUUUAGAAAACCAUCAGUUUGCUAUUUCAUGCAUGCCCAAAAGAGUUCCUGUGCAAAUCAUGAAUCUGUAUUAUGCUAUUCUCUGGAACCCCUACAGGUCAUGGGUUGGCAGGAUCUGCUUUCAACAGCCUUGGUCCAGGAAGGAAAUCUCACCUUCCCCUCUCCGUUCACCCUACCCCAUUCUCUAUCACACACACACACACACACACACACACACACACACACACACACUCACUGAGAGAGAGAGAGAGAGAGAGAGAGCAUCUUAUCUUCUGCCAGCAUCCCAGUCUCAUAGGCGCAAUGACUUUUUGUCAAUCUGGCCAAGAAAUGCCCUCAAUACCUCUGCUAUCACUGAAUCAGGGUUUAGGGUGUCAAUUCCCACUUUGCUUUGUGGCUCAGCAAGGGCAGACAGCCCAGCAACAAUAUCCUCCAUAAGUCUUCCCUCAGUUGCUUUGCUUUCUGUAAACUUCAGUGUCCUCCUUUUGAGCUUUAGACACAUCUAAACUCUUUUCAUUAUCACAUUAUUUUGAGGUGAAAUUUACAAAGAAAUUUAGCCAUUAAAAAUACACAAAUGUUUGGCAUUUGAUAUCAUUCACAAUGUUGUGCAACUGCUACCUCUUUCAAGUACCAAACUAUUUUCAUCUUCCCCCCAGAGGAUUUAAGGCUUAUAGGGACACAUAGUGAGGCCUGAGGCACUUUUAAUAAUCUGGAGUUCCUGAGAACUUGUGGUCAGAGGCUGAGACGGGCUGGGCUAAGGCUGGCAGAUCUGAGACCCAUACUGGUCCAAUGACCUCUCUCUGUACGCACAGGAACACUGUGUGACAGUCAUACUUCCCUCAUGACUGGGUGCAACUAUCUCUAUCACUGUCUCAGUUUCUCCACACAGGGCUACAUUCUGUCUCUUUGCUCUGUGAUUCUAUAACGUGUCUGUAUACAGGUGGCUCUGUUUUCAUUGAGGCUGGGAGGUUAGCAUAUGUGACACCUGUUGUAACUUUGAAAAACCUUUGUUUCUUUUGGCUUCUAUUUUGGCUGAUCUACAAUGACCUUGCAUCCUGCCUGAGCUUCUGGAGCAGGGUGAAACCCAGUGGCCCUAGUACCUCAGCCAACCCAGGACAUUUGCACAGGUAUCCUGAAACCCAGACAACUGUCCAUCCAGUCCCAGCAGAAAUUGCUCAUGCAAGGGAAUGAAGAUAGUGGAGAGGUGAAUGGCAGCAAAAGUCAGCCUCCCCAAGAUCCAGACUCCAGACACUGGAAAACAACAAGUUUGGGAAGUAAAAAGGAGAAGUAGUUUUCUGGGAAGACGAAAGGAACUGACAGGAAAAUUAAAUGUUAUAGAGAAGUUAGAGAAAUGGACCCUACCACACAAAAGAAGGAAACGAAACAAUCUGGACUCUCUGACCAGAUCCUAACUUAUGGCUGAUGGGGAAAGGAGUCUGACUGUGCAGAAGCAAACUGAACGCUCCAAGAGGAACUCUCAAAACAAGCAGAAAUAGCUAUUGUAUUUUCAGACAAAGUGGACUUCAAGCCAAAAGUGAUCAGAAGAGGCAAAGAAGCUCACUCACUACAUAUUAGUUAAGGAAAUAUUUUAACAGGAUGAGAUAACAAUUAUAAACAUAUAAGCACUGGUGUUUCCAGAGAAUCAGCCAUGCUGGAACUUGGGGGACCAAUCAAGAAAGCAAUGAACCAUUCUUCCUGGUAAGUGGAGAGAGCCAUGGGUGCACCUGGAGAGAACAAAUUAUUAUCUCUCAUGGGCCUACCUGCGUGCAGGCUAAGAAUCAAAUGUGCCCCAUCCCAGUUAGCAGCUGGAUGGUUUGGAGAUCAGCCAUGAUUGAUAACAACUAAGGUACACAAAGCAACUAAAUGCUUGUAUUGUUUGGUUGAUUAUGCUAACCUGGGGCCAGAAGUGUAAGCAUCUCUUAUUAUGCUUACAUUAUGCUUAGGAUGACAGUAUGCAAUAUAGCAAAUGUGGAGGAUUUUUUUCUAUCUUGUCUUUGAAGGCCAAUACUGUUUUCACUGUUUUGCUUUGUUCUGAUUAAUUGCUUUGCUCUAUUCAUUAUUCUGUUUUGAUUGGUUUUAUGGUGUUCUAUUUUUGGUUUGACUUUUCUAUACCUGAUUGAAUGGACAACUAUUGUGAAGAUAACAAGAUAUACUAUGGUACGUAUUGUUAUCCUGGUAUCCUGCUCUGAAGUUCUGUACCGAUUUCACUGCAUUGUCCUGAUUGGCUUUGUUCUGUCUUGUUUUGUUGUAUUUUAUUAUAUUAAAAAACAUAUAAGCAUUGAACACCAGUGUACCCAACUUCAUAAAACAAACACCACUGGACAUAAAAGAUAAGAUAAACAUCAACACAAUUUUAUUGAGAGAACUCCGUGCCCCACUGUCACAAAUAAGUCAACUAGACAGAAAGUCAACAAAGAAAUAUGAGAGUUGAAUUCACUUUCAAACAAAUAAAAAAUAGGUUUUCAGCCCAGCAAAAAUGGAAUACACAUUCUUAGCAGCACAUGGAACUUUCUCUAAGACAGACUACAUACGAUGCAUAAGUAAGUACAGAAUCAAAAUUAUCCCAUGUAUCAGAUCACUACACCAUGAAACUAGAAAUUCAUGGCAAAAGAAAUCACAAAAAUGAUACAAAUACAUGGAAACUAAUCAAAGCUCUCUUAAAUAAUCAAUGUGUUGAUGAAUAAAUCAAGGAAGACACCUAACAGUUCAUAGAACCAAACAAUAAUGGCAAUAUAACAUAAAAGAUGCUGGGCCUGGGGAGAUAGCUCAUUGGCACAAGUGCCUCCCUGGUAAGGACAAGGUCCUGAGUUUAAUUCCUGUGCCAAAACAAACAAACAAACAAACAAAAAACCAAACCCACAAAAAGAAAAAAAAACGUAAGAGAGACUAUUGGACAUAAUGAAAUGAAGAGGAAUUUUUAUGGCUGUGAAUGCCCACAUCAGAAUGACAGAGUGAAUCCAAAUAAAGAAUCUAUUAAUGCACUUCAAGGUCUUAGAAAAUCAAGAGAAAUCCAAACCCAAAGCUAAUACAAGAAAGGGUACUAUAAAGAUCAGUGCAGAAAUUAAUAAAAUUGAGACAAAAAUUACACAAGAUCAAUGAAUCAGAGAGCUGGUUCUCUGAAAGAAUAAAAUAAAUAAAUCCUUAGCUGAUCUUACCAAAAAAAGAGGAAAAGAAGAGACCCAAAUAAAUUCAAGUAGAAAUGAAAAAGGUAAAAUCACAACAGCCUCUUCGCAAACCCAGAAGAUCAUUACUAACAACUUUGAGAACCUGUAUUCUUAUAAAAUGGAGAAUUCAAAAGAAAUGGAUAGAUUCCUAGAUAAAUAUGAGCUACCAAAGCUGUACCAAGACUGAAAAUUCUGACUAAUCCAAUAUCAGGCAGUAAAACUGAGGAAAUGAUGAAAACCAACUGUUAAGGUUUAGGUCUAGGUAUCCUCCUAAAUACUUAGGUAGUCCCUGAGGUGGUUUUGGAAGGUGGCUCAAUCUCGAGUGUGUGUUGCUGGGACCGAGAGUGUGUGAUUACUAAAUCAGACCACUGAUUGGUUUGGUGUAGUUCUGGGUAGGAUUAAGGGUGCCUCAUCCUGGAUGUGAGUGCAACUGACUCUAAGGUUGGGGAGUUUGGAUAAGAUAUAAGGGACAGAACAAGAGUCCUUACUUGUUGCUUAUUGCUUGCUGUCUUCUGCCUGCCAUGGACUGCUUCUCCUCUAUGAUGUCCAUCUGCCAUGCCACCCCAGCUUGGAGCCAGCAAGCUUGUACUGAAACAUCUACAAAUGGUGGGCCAAACCUUUUCUCCUUUAAGUUUGGGUGUUGAGUAUUUCACCUCAGCAAUAAGAAAAUUAAGACACCUGCCAACUAAGAAAAGCCCUGGUUUCAACUGAUUCACUGUCUAAUUCUGCAAGAAUUUUAGAGAAGAUCUAACACCAGUGCUUCUCAAACUCUUUAAUGAUAUCAAUAGGGAAGUAGUACUCUCAAAGAUGUUACUGGAAGAUAGCAUUACCCUCAUUUCUAAGCCAGACAAGGACCCAACAUAAAAAGAAAGUUACAGACCAAUCUCAUUAAUGAACAUAGAUGCAAAAAUCCUCAACAAGCUAUUGGCAAACAAUGCAACAAAACAUCAAAAAGAUCAUACAUAAUGAACAAGUACAAUUCAUGUAAGGGAUGUACAAAUGGUUCAAGAUAUACAAAUCAAUGCAGCAUAUCAAAUAAAAAGAAACAAGCACAAAAACCACAUGAUGAUCUUGAUUGGUGCAGUAAAAGCCUUUGACAAAAUCCAACAUCCAUUCAUGAUAAAAACCAUGAAGAAAGUUAUAGGAGAAGCUUAUCUCAAUGUGAUGUAAGCCAUUUAUGAAAAGCCAAUAGCCAAAAUCAUACUAAAUAAAAAGAAGCCAAAAGCUUUCCCUCAAAAUUAGAAAAAAGACAAGGACAUCUUCUAUCACCACUCCUGUAAAAUGCAGUGUGCAAAACAUUGGCCAGAUCAAGCAGGCAAGGGUAAUAAAAGGGAUAUGCAUACAGGACAUGGAGAAGUUGAAUUAUCAUUAUUUGCAGACGACAUGAUCUUCUACAAAGAAAACUCAAAAAAAAUUCUAGCAACUUUGGAAGUAUAGUGGGAUACAAAGUCAAUACACAAAAAUCAAUAGCAUUUCUGUAUACUGGUAAUAAACUCACUGAGAGAGAAAUUAGAACAACAAUAUUUUUCACAACAGCAUCAAGAAAAAUACUUUGGUAUUAACCUAACUAAGGAUGUGAAAGACCUCUACGAUGAAAACUAUAGCAAAACCUUACAAAGACAUCAAAGAGGACAUCAGAAAAUGAAAGGAUACCCAUUGUUUCUGGACAGUUAGAAUCAAUAUAGUCAAAAUAGCCAUACUUCCAAAAUUUAUACAUGUUUAAUGCACUCCAAUCACAAUAAUAAUGACAUUCCUCAUAGAACUAGCAAAACAUUGAUAAAGGUCAUAUGAAACCAGAAAAGACCUAGAAUAGCAAAGAACAAGGCAAGAACAUUACAAUUCUAUACUUCAAGUUACGCUGCAAAGCUACAGUGAUAAAAACAGCAUAGUAUUGGGGGUGGGGAAAGCCAGACAGGUGGAUCAGUAGAACAGAAUAGAGGAUGCAAGAAACAACUCCAGCCACAUUUGGCUAGCUGAUAUCUAACCAGGGGGCUGAAAACUUAAAACUGGGGGAAAAGUAAGGUCUUUAACAAGUGGUGCUAAGAAAACUGGCUAUUCACAUGCCAAAGAUUGAACCUAGACCUGUAUCUCUCAUCAUAUACUAAAUUAAAAUUGAAGUAGAUUAAAGACCUACAUAUUAAAACAGAAACACUUAACCUCUUAGAAGAUAAAAUAGGUGAAACUCUUGAAGACAUAGGUGUAAGCAUAGUCUUUCUGAGUAGACCCCUAACUGCCCAAGAAAUAAUAUGAAGAAUUAGUAAAUGUGAUCAUAUCAAAUUUAAAUGCUUAUACACAGUAAAAGAAAUAAUAGUGUGAAGAGACAACCUAUACAAUGUGAAAAAAUUUACCAAUUAUUCAUCAGACAGAGGAUUAAUAUCUAGAACAUAUAAAGAACCAAUACUCCAAACAAAAGACCAAAUCAAAACUAAGCCACUGAGAUGAAUGGACAUUUCCCAAAGGAAACAGCACAACUGGCUAAUAAGUAUGUGAAAAAAAAAUGUUCAGCAGGAGCCAGAUCCAAGCCUACCUCUGUGAGUCAGCAUUGUUUGUGGACUGCGGAAGGAGACAAACAUGACCCACAGGGAGGAGAUUCCCCCUCCUGGAAACAUAUCAUUGUCAUUGCUUUUUCUAUUGGGUUGAGGUUUAUUCUCUUUUAUUUUAUUAUGCUAACUCUGAUGGCAUAAGCAGCUAUUUGAAAGAUAGCAAGACAUGUUAUGGAAGUCAUUGUGUAUUUACUACUGGCUUGUUUUGAGAUUCUUUAUUGCAUUUGUUUUCUUUUUAUUGUUUCUAUUCUAUCCUAUAUGUCCGAAGGUGAUAUCUAGACCUGUUUUGAAGCCAACAAAGGCAUUGUGGUAACUAGUGUUGAUUCAAAAGGUUUGAAAGUCCUGUAUCAAUUAUGCUGGUUUAGUUAGAUUGAUUUCAUUGUUUUAUUUUCCUUGUUUUUUUUCCUCUUUAAAAAAAAAUGUUCAGCAUCACCAGCCAUUACAUAAAUGCAAAUUAAAGCCACACUGACUUUCUCUUUCAUUCCAGAAAAAAUGACCAUCACCAAGAAAUCAAAUAAUAACAAAAACUGAAAGGUUUCAGGGGAAAAGGAACCUUUCUACAUUGUUGGUGUAUCCGGCCAGGAACCACAGGAAAACGAGCAGAAUGAGGCUGGAUACAAUGACCAGGAGCCAGGAACCAGAGGCCAGGAAUACAGAGAGGAGCACCCCAAAAAUGAACAGAAGGGUUUGGGGCAGAAUCAGCGUGUAGCGGAAGGUGGCAGGGAUAUGCUCCAACAAGCCACUGGAAAACAAGUCCAGGACGGUUUUUCUGUCAUUCUCUUGAUACUUGCGAAUCUCAUAAGAAGCCAUGUUGAGAUUUCUGUGCCUAAAAUCCCAAAGACCAGGAUAAAUGGCUAGAUCUGCCUGUAUACCUUGCCUGCAGCCCUGGAAAAGAAAGAAGAAGAAGUGUCCACACAUUUCCGAGCUCCCUGAGGGGCACAGAGACUGCUUUCAGCUGUCAUCCAGGGGAAACAGGAAAACAUCACUAAGAAAAAGUUUGGAGUCAGAAAGUUGAUUGAGAUCCUUCACCUGUGUGAACUGGUCAUGGCACUUACCCUCUCUGAGCCUAUGUCUUCGUCUGUAGAGCAAGGUAAAAUAACACCUGUCUUCUAGGGUUCCUUUGAGAAUGUUAUAUAACAUAGCUGGGCAUGGCAUCAGACACCUGUAAUUCCAGGCUGAAUUGGGAGCCUGAAGCAGGAGCAUCACAAGUUUGAGGCCAACUUGAACUAUAUAGUGAGACUGUCUUGAACAAAAAAAAUCAUAUCUAUAUGUAUAUUUUCUGUCUAUAUAUCAGUGGUCUAUCUAUAUAAUCUUAUAUGAAAUAUUGGUAAAUGAAAUCCCUUUCUCUCCAUAUUCAUUAUUCCUUUAUGUGCUCUGUGAGCACCGUGGAACACCGGGCUGACAAUGUGGCCACCAGAUCUCAUGUCCCCAGCCCUUGGUCCCUCAUCAGAGUCCACCCAUUACAGAAAUCCUGUGGGCCUGAGCAGAAGUUUUAGCAAAGCCUCCUUCCCCUUGGCAGAUUUAGGCUGCUGAGAUGGCAAAAGGGCCAACCACUGAAAAGGAUCCAAUCUUAAAUCUCAGGACCACAGCACCAAACAGACCUAGGUUCUCUCACCUGCUACCACAGAGCCGAGUGUCCAGGGUGGCUUCAACCCUCAUCUUCUGACUGGUUGCACUGUCUCUAGCCCAUCCUACUUUUGGGGAGCAGAUGUGGUACCACCUCCUUGGCUCACUCUUGGACAUUUGAUAAUCAUCAACCCUGGGUUCAAGGACCUGAUCUGUGACAGCUCCAUUCACCUUUGAGAUCCUUUGGGAAAGUUUGUGACCUAUAAGGGGAAGUAGGUUCUAAGAUGAUGCAGGAGUCUUCAUCCUUGGAGGAGACCUGCCCACCUCUUCCUAUUCCCACCAGGCUGCAGCAUGGCUCACCCUGCACACUUGGCUCUUUCUCAUGUCCAUGCUGGUACCAAGCACAUACCUGGCAGGUGACAGAUCUGCAGCAGUCACCCUGUGCUCUGUUAGUAUGGACAAGGAUCCACAUUCCCUAGCUCGGCAACAAGCUCCUUUGCAGCUGCACUGCUCCCUGCCAAAGCCUCACCUGGCCCAUGAAAAACAGAUGCUAUGUAGUUUCUCUCAUUCACUGCUCUCUCUCCUUCUUUGUCCCUGCUAUCAGUCUCUUAGGAAUUGUAUGGAGACACCUACUGCAUUUCAGGUGUUAUUUUUGACCUCCAGCAGUGCUGGUGUCCAACCAGCAGGCACCAGGUGGUGGGCAGCUGCUGUGGGCUGUGGGGGUGGCUCAGACCUGGCACCAUUGCACUUCUUACAUUUUUCCUGAGCACGUGCCUCACUAAGACAGGAACAGCAAAAGGGAAGGGCAAAUCCCUCUCCACGGAAAUCUCCUUUAGAGAAGGAGCAACUCUCUUCUAAAAACAAGCUCACCUCUGCCCACAUGGCCUACCAGCCUUACAGACCCGUGAAGGUGUUGGGUUUCCUCCCUCAGGGUUUUCUGAAGCAGGAGGACAGCACAAGCUGGUAUUUUUGUGCAACAGUGGGCUUAGUGGGCAGUGAAGGAAGCUCUUCAGGCUGAGUAAAAAAGAAGUCUGGUGACCCUGAGGCAGGAGGAAAGGCUACUGAUGGAGGGGAUGGGAGAAAGAGUAGGCGAGGGCAGAAGGCACCUGGCUAAGCCUGGCCAGCACCCACAUUAGCAGACCUAUUUCAGGAGCAAGGAAGAGUACAGCUAUCUUUUUAGCUAGGAAUCAACAUGGCGGGCGUUUGGGGUACUUCCGUCCUUGUGUGUGAUUGUGCAUGUUUGUGUUGCUCUGGCUGAGUGUGGAGAAUGGAAUUGAGGAGGUAGGAAUGGCAGCAGGGCCCCAUGCAGUAAAGGGUAAGGGUAAGAGAAAAGCAGCCAGAUACAGUGUAUAAGGUGUUCAUUGCAAGACCACUGGCCAAGAAGGGCUAAUGCGAACCAAGUGAAGUGUACGCCAACUAAGACAGGCCACCUGGCUUGAAUCUGAGCCCGUCUAGUAAAAGGGUACUUAUUACUCAUUUAUUCCAAAACAUUGGAUGCCAACUAAUUGCAUGUGUGGUCUGAGUGGCCUGAAAAAAGGACCUUGGUCAGUGUUGGAGGAGCCAUCUGGACCAGCCGAGGCCCAAGAAACAAUAAUAAUGUGAACCAGCAGAGGUGAUAGUGUGACCUGGACCAUUUGGAGGUACAUUCAGGGCAAAAGUAGAAGAAGUAAAUGGUUCAAAUGAAUGAGCACAGGAAAGUGUAAGAUGAUGGUUAGGACUGUGGCAACCGCUUCUAGAAGGACAUGGGCCCAUAUUUGGAGAAAUGAGAAUUUGCCUGUAGAUGCUGCCUGCAGCUUCCUCGUGAAACACCAGAAGGUGGGACCAGAAACUGGAACCCAGGGCACUUACUGGAGACUGCUGAGACACUGGAUCAGAGAUCAAGAAAAUCAUCUCUGGGAGUUAUCAAACCUCAGUUGCUGAGCAUUCACAAGAGAAGAUGAAUCACAUUACAUUAUAAUGGAAGAAGUAAGCUUAAUGUUACUAUCUUAUCUGAAUAGCAAACACCAUAGAACAUACCAACCAUGGGUGACUAUGUAAAACUCUACAGAAUAUAACAGGACUUAGGAGCUUCAUUGAGAUGGAAUCAUCCAGGGAGGUUGUGCCCUGCCUUCCAGUGGCUGGAGGACAGAAGAGACUAACUUGGAUUCCAAAUGCCAAACUGUCUCCCAUUAUGGAGCUAAGGGGUCAUUUUCCUCUUGCCUAAGGCCAAUCUGCAAACACAGAGGAACACUGUGAGACCCGUGGGUCUGGCGACUCCUCCAUCUGAGGACAGAUCGUGGUCAAGAGAGGGUGGAUAGGAAUACCCACUGGCUGUGCUAUACAGUGCCAUUUCUUCUGUCUUUGCAACCUCCUAGUGGCUGCCUAUGCCAGUUAUCCUACAUCCUUCUGCACCUCAAGUGAUCUUAGAAGACUACCCUAUACAGAUGUGCUUCUGGGAAUGGCAUCCUGGCUACUAGGGUUACAAGAGAAGAGGCUUCUAGAUGUUACCACCAGAGGGCGAUGUUGCAUUAUGGAUGAGUGUGGGACUAAGUGUCACCUUCAGCAAAUGAGAGUUCGAAGAUGGAGCCCUCCUUGGGUACCAGAAGACAGCUAGACCUGCCUGCACAAUUUCCCUGUAGUCUGGAGAAAAGAAAGAAGCCAUACUUGUCCUCUUGCACAGCUCCCAGCCUCUCCAGCACCAUGGAGACCCUGCUGAAGGGUAUGUAUUUCUGCUGCCAUACUAAAGGAGGAGACUUUAACUAGGAGAAGGUUUAGGGUCAGAAGCCUUUUUCUAGCUGUAUUAUCUGGACCAUGUCUAACCAUUCUCAGCAUAUAUCCUCAUCUGCAGAACGGUAAAUAUAUACCUAUGCACUCUAGGGUUGCUUGAGGAUUUAAUAGAGUAUCUUACAUGAAACAGUGGCACAUACAAUCCUGCAUCACUCUCAUUACUCUAUUACAGGUCCUCUGAGAUUCUCAGGACACUGAGAUGGUCUUGGUGACAGCCAGACCUCUAUGCUCCAAUCCUUUGGUUUCUUUCCAGGAUCCAUCCAUUGCACAAAUCCUGUGUUCACCAAAAGAUGAUCAGCAAAACCUCCUUUCCCCAGUUCUAGGCUGAUAAGAUGACAAAACGGUCAGAAUUAUAAAUGGCAUGAGUGGGGCUAGGGAUUUAGCUCAGUGGCAUAAGCACCUGCCUUGGAAGCAGGCAGUCCUGGGUUCAAUCCCCGGUACCGAUAAAAAAAAAAAAAAAAAUGGCGUGAGCUUGAGAUGCCCAGGAAGGUUCAGGACUCCAGACCAUCACUGAGAGCCUCAAAUUGUACCCAGAUUCUUUGACCCACUCUACCACACUGCUGAGAGCAUUCAGGGAAACUUUGACCCACAGCCUCUGAUGGCAUCCAGGAGAGACACUCUAGGGCCUGCUCUGGAAAGAGAUGGGUGCCAUUACAUUGGCUGUCUUGUAAAUAUUUGAUAAGUAUAAACCCCAUAGUCAGUGCCUCAAAACAGACAGCCCAAUUCCAUUUGGCUUUGUAAUCCUCGCAGAAUUAAUCUGCAAGGCAAAAUGAGAGUAUACACUUGUUUAUCUGCGUCACCCUCACGAGAGGCCUAACAUCGCUCCUGUUCUCUUCAAGCCACAGCAUCUCUCACCUUGCACACUGUUCCCAUCUGCAUACUUGGGUUUGGAUCCAGGGACCUGAAAAUGCCAGGCAAGCACUGUAACACUAAGCCACAUUCCCAGCCCUUUUUACUUGUUUUUUUUUGUUUUGUAGCAGGGUCUCACUAAGUUGCCUGGCUGGCCUAGAACUUGUGAUCCUCCUGUCUCAGUCUGUGCAGCAUGCUCAGCCCUCUUUGAAGCCCACCCCAGUCCCCAUCCCAGACAUACUGUUAUCACUAACAGUGAGCAUCUCUAGUCAUGGAUCAGAGUCCGCAUCUCACGGCUCAGCAGCAAGUUUCCUCAUUGUGCUUCUCCCACCUGAAGCUUAACUGGUCCCUCACAAAUCACUCUAUUCUGCUCAGCUGUUCAGCAACCAUAUGGAUGCACUUGCUGUUCUGUAGGUGUCCUUUGCAGCCUCUGGAAGUGUUGACAGAGUGGACUGGUGCCGCAGGCUCUGGUGAUGGCCCAGAGUCAGUGCCAUCAUAUUUCUUACACAUUUUAUCUGAACGUAUACUUCACUAAGACAAGCAAAGCAAAACAAAAGAGCAAUCUUCUGCAUGGAAUUCUCUUCUAUGGAAGAGACAUAUCCCUUAAAAAAGGCACUUGCCUGUACCCAUGUGCCCAACAACAAUGAGGAUGUUGGCUUUUUUCUUGCAUAGCUUCUUGAAGCAGGAGGAUAGCAGAAGCCAGUGUUUGUAUGAUUUCAUUCAUGCAGAUGUGUGGUCUGCAGGGAGAGGAUAACCAGGUUUCCUCAGAACAGUUGGGGCAACCCAAGGAAAGAUGGGCCUCAUCAGGGAGGGAGGGUAGCUUCUCUGGCUGUGGGAACAAGAGCAGGACUAUGCAAAGACGCAAAAAGGGCACAGCUUUUGGGGAAAUAUGACUGACCAGUCAGAUGGAAGGGGUCAGGAGAGGUAGCAGAGGUGCAUGUUAUAGGAGCAGCAUGUAGAUUGGGUAGCGUGAACUCUUUGCAAAGAGCAAAGCAGGCUACAUAAUGAACUUUUAGCUUAAAACGUGUGUGUUGUAUCAUCUCUUGAUUUGUAGGUGGAGAACAGAUCAGAGGAGGCAGGAGUGGUAUCAGAUUUACUAAGAGGCAAGUGCAGCAUCUGAGCUACAGAAGGGCCACCAGGUCCAGCUGUGUAGCUUGCUCACAAGGGCUCUGGCCACCAAGGGCAAAUGUGAAUUAAUUCCCCCUACUGCACUUUCUAAGGCAUCAGCCUUUAGCCCUACCUAGGGCUAAGCCUAGCCAAGGGAAAGAACUUAUUUCUAAUGUUCUCAAAGGCCCUGUUUCUCCAGUACCAGGCAUCUAUGAUCUGUACUGCAUGGAGAGCCUUGGCCAGUGUUCACAAAGGAGCCACAGUAUCAGUAAAGGCCCAAGAAUCAAAGUGAUGACUUGGACUUAGCCAAUCAAGGCCUUGAGACCUGGGCCACUGUGGGUGUAUUUAGGGGCAGAAAUGGCAGGAGUUAGGAUAAUUCAAAUGGGAAUGAGCAGUAGAAAUGAGCCAGACAUGACAGCAGAGUUGUGGCGAGAAUGUCUAGGAGGACCACGGAGGAAGGCAGAUCCAGAAGUUUAGGACUCACCUGUAGGCACUGCCUUCAGGGUCUUCCUGAGACAGCAGGUGAGGCUGCAGCUGGAACCCAGGGCUCUUGGUAGAGUCUGAUGAGAUUUGGUAUCUUUGACACAAGAUAAGAAUUCAAUAUUUAACAUCAAAUCCUGGACGUGAGUCCCCAUGCCCUGUGGUUUCCAUGGCAUCACCAAAACCUCAGUUUACACUGAGGCUCUUCUUCCUUCCUAGGCUUAACUGUAUCAUCUGCAUUUCUGAGGCCUUUUAACAGCAACUAGGUUUUCUCUGUCCACACUGGUUACUUUAUUUGGCAGACAAUAGCUGAGUCCUUGCCAUGUGCCAGGUUCUGUGCUUGGCGUAAAGGGCAGCAGACACGGGAAGCAUGGCUGCUCCUCCAAGGAUGACACCCGGAAGAACUCAGGACACAGAACAUGGCAGAGACAUCUAAAUCCAGAAUCCCCUUAGUUAGAGGCUGAACAUGAUGGUUAGGGCUUUUAUAUUGCAAAUGUAGAAAAGUCACAUACAAAUUGCUUAAGAAAUAGAAGUGAUAGCCAGGUAUAGUGGCGCAUGCCUAUAAUCCCAGCACUUACAAGGCUGAAGCAGUAGGAUUGUUGCAGGUUCAAGGCCAGCCUGUGCUACACAGUGAGUUAAGCACCAGUCUGAACUACAUCGAGACCGAGUCAAUCCUCACCCCCCAAAAAGAAAGAACUAGAACUGUCUCAGUUUCUCCACACAGGGCCACAUUCUGUCUCUUUGCUCUGUGAUUCUAUAGCGUGUCUGUGUACAGGUGGCUCUAUGUUUUCAUUGAGGCUGGGAAGUUAGCAUAUGUGACACCUGUUGUAACUUUGAAAAACCUUUGUUUCUUUUGACUUCUAUUUUGGCUGAUCUACAAUGACCUUGCAUCCUGCCUGAGCUUCUGGAGCAGGGUGAAACCCACUGGCCCUAGUACCUCAGGACAUUUGUACAGGUAUCCUGAAACCCAGACAACUGUCCAUCCAGUCCCAGCAGAAAUUGCUCAUGCAAGGGAAUGAAGAUAGUGGAGAGGUGAAUGGCAGCAAAAGUCAGCCUCCCCAAGAUCCAGACUCCAGACACUGGGAAGUAACAAGUUUGGGAAGUAAAAAGGAGAAGUAGUUUUCUGGGAAGACGAAAGGAACUGACAGGAAAAUUAAAUGUUAUAGAGAAGUUAGAGAAAUGGACCCUACCACACAAAAGAAGGAAACGAAACAAUCUGGACUCUCUGACCAGAUCCUAACUUAUGGCUGAUGGGGAAAGGAGUCUGGCUGUGCAGAAGCAAACUGAACGCUCCAAGAGGAACUCUCAAAACAAGCAGAAAUAGCUAUUGUAUUUUCAGACAAAGUGGACUUCAAGCCAAAAGUGAUCAGAAGAGGCAAAGAAGCUCACUCACUACAUAUUAGUUAAGGAAAUAUUUUAACAGGAUGAGAUAACAAUUAUAAACAUAUCAGCACUGGUGUUUCCAGAGAAUCAGCCAUGCUGGAACUUGGGGGACCAAUCAAGAAAGCAAUGAACCAUUCUUCCUGGUAAGUGGAGAGAGCCAUGGGUGCACCUGGAGAGAACAAAUCAUUAUCUCUCAUGGGCCUACCUGCGUGCAGGCUAAGAAUCAAAUAUGCCCCAUCCCAGUUAGCAGCUGGAUGGUUUGGAGAUCAGCCAUGAUUGAUAACAACUAAGGUACACAAAGCAACUAAAUGCUUGUAUUGUUUGGUUGAUUAUGCUAACCUGGGGCCAGAAGUGUCAGCAUCUCUUAUUAUGCUUACAUUAUGCUUAGGAUGACAGUAUGCAAUAUAGCAAAUGUGGAGGAUUUUUUUCUAUCUUGUCUUUGAAGGCCAAUAUUGUUUUCAUUGUUUUGCUUUGUUCUGAUUAAUUGCUUUGCUCUAUUCAUUAUUCUGUUUUGAUUGGUUUUAUAGUGUUCUGUUUUUGGUUUGAUUUUUCUAUACCUGAUUGAAUGGACAACUAUUGUGAAGAUAACAAGAUAUACUAUGAAAAAAUGACCAUCACCAAGAAAUCAAAUAAUAACAAAAACUGAAAGGUUUCAGGGGAAAAGGAACCUUUCUACAUUGUUGGUAAGAAUGUAAGUUAGUACAAUCACUAUGGAAAUCAGUAAGAAGAUUCCUUGAAAAACUAAAAAUAGAAAAUCUAUUUGACUCACUAGGUUGGUUAUUGUCUAACUAGGUAUCUUCCUGAAAGAGUUAAAGGUACCACAUUACAAUGAUACAUACACACCUGUGUUUAUAGUAGAACAAUUCAUAAUAGCUAAAUCUUUGGACUGACUUAUAUGUCCAUCCAAAGAUAAAUGGAUAAAGGAAAUGUGGUACUUAUGUAUGUAUGUAUGCGUGUAUAUAUGUAUGUAGGUGUGCAUUUUGAGACAGAGCCUCACCAUGUAGUGUAGGUUUGAACUCAUUAUAUAGCCCUGUUGGUCUCAAACUCACAGCAAUCCUUCUGCCUCAACCUCCCAAGUGCUGGGAUUACAGGCCUGGGUUACCAUACCUUGCAAAAAUGUAGUAUUUAUACAUGGUGCAGUACUACUCUGUCAUAAAGAGGAUAAAUUUGAGCCAUUUGUAGGAAAGUGGAUGCAAUUUGAGAGCAUAAUAUUAAGAAAACAAAAAUCUGACACUCAAGCAUAACAUUGCAUAGUUUUUCUUCUAUGAGAAACCCAAAAUGUGAAUUAAAUCCAAAAUAAAAUUAGGUAACAGAAAAAAAGAGAAAAUUUCCUAGAGGAGUUCUUAGUUUGUUAAUUAAACAUUGAGACUUUGUGUUUGUGUUUUGUGAUGUUUACAGUAUGACAGCUUUUAAAAUAUGUACAAUCUUUAGAUUUCACUAACCAUAGUUUUCUCUGUUCAUGGUAAUACUACUUUAUAUUUUAGUCAAGUAAAUACAACUUUGGAUGUGAAAAAAAGAAAUUUCUGGUACAGUCAUAAGUUAAAUAAAAGUUUGUUAUUGUUUGUAUGUUUUUUAUACAAUAGUGCCAUGUUGUUAGACACAUGAAACCACCUCAGAAAGGCAGAAUGGAGCAGAGCCUCCCACUGUAUACCCAUCCCAAUAUUAAACACAGUAGGCUCAGGUAUGUGUGAACAAUAUAUUUUUAUUGUUUAUAUCACUGAGAUGUCAGGGUUUGCUUGUUACUAUAGCAGAGCUGAUUAGAUACUGACUGAUACACAAGACAAACAGUUACAGGCCUCCAUCCCGAGCAGAAGGGAACUGGUAUGUGAGAUGAAAUAAAGGGGUACCCCUCAGCCUUGAGAACCUGGUAUAGAAGGAAUGGCCUGUCUUCUGGAAGCCCAUGCUCUGGUAGAGGCCCAGAGCAUCAUACUGCAGCAUACUAGUGCUAAGGACAACUUCACUGCAGCCCUGUUCCCGAGCAAACUGGAGGACAGUCCUGACCAGGGCUUUCCCUAUCCCCUCUCUGCGACGCUCCCAGGACACAGACAGAUGCCGCAGCCGCAGCCGCUUCUUGCCCAGUGGGUGCUUCUCCGCCAACAGAGCACAUACAAUGCCCACCACCUUACCCCCAGACUCAGCCACCCAGAAACAGGAGCCACAUUCACUCAGGUAGGAUUUGGUGAUGUCAGCCAGGUCUGUGGACAAACAUUCAUUCACACGCUUCUUCCAGGUGUAUCCGGCCAGGAACCACAGGAAAACGAGCAGAAUGAGGCUGGAUACAAUGACCAGGAGCCAGGAACCAGAGGCCAGGAAUACAGAGAGGAGCACCCCAAAAAUGAACAGAAGGGUUUGGGGCAGAAUCAGCGUGUAGCGGAAGGUGGCAGGGAUAUGCUCCAACAAGCCACUGGAAAACAAGUCCAGGACGGUUUUUCUGUCAUUCUCUUGAUACUUGCGAAUCUCAUAAGAAGCCAUGUUGAGAUUUCUGUGCCUAAAAUCCCAAAGACCAGGAUAAAUGGCUAGAUCUGCCUGUAUACCUUGCCUGCAGCCCUGGAAAAGAAAGAAGAAGAAGUGUCCACACAUUUCCGAGCUCCCUGAGGGGCACAGAGACUGCUUUCAGCUGUCAUCCAGGGGAAACAGGAAAACAUCACUAAGAAAAAGUUUGGAGUCAGAAAGUUGAUUGAGAUCCUUCACCUGUGUGAACUGGUCAUGGCACUUACCCUCUCUGAGCCUAUGUCUUCGUCUGUAGAGCAAGGUAAAAUAACACCUGUCUUCUAGGGUUCCUUUGAGAAUGUUAUAUAACAUAGCUGGGCAUGGCAUCAGACACCUGUAAUUCCAGGCUGAAUUGGGAGCCUGAAGCAGGAGCAUCACAAGUUUGAGGCCAACUUGAACUAUAUAGUGAGACUGUCUUGAACAAAAAAAAUCAUAUCUAUAUGUAUAUUUUCUGUCUAUAUAUCAGUGGUCUAUCUAUAUAAUCUUAUAUGAAAUAUUGGUAAAUGAAAUCCCUUUCUCUCCAUAUUCAUUAUUCCUUUAUGUGCUCUGUGAGCACCGUGGAACACCGGGCUGACAAUGUGGCCACCAGAUCUCAUGUCCCCAGCCCUUGGUCCCUCAUCAGAGUCCACCCAUUACAGAAAUCCUGUGGGCCUGAGCAGAAGUUUUAGCAAAGCCUCCUUCCCCUUGGCAGAUUUAGGCUGCUGAGAUGGCAAAAGGGCCAACCACUGAAAAGGAUCCAAUCUUAAAUCUCAGGACCACAGCACCAAACAGACCUAGGUUCUCUCACCUGCUACCACAGAGCCGAGUGUCCAGGGUGGCUUCAACCCUCAUCUUCUGACUGGUUGCACUGUCUCUAGCCCAUCCUACUUUUGGGGAGCAGAUGUGGUACCACCUCCUUGGCUCACUCUUGGACAUUUGAUAAUCAUCAACCCUGGGUUCAAGGACCUGAUCUGUGACAGCUCCAUUCACCUUUGAGAUCCUUUGGGAAAGUUUGUGACCUAUAAGGGGAAGUAGGUUCUAAGAUGAUGCAGGAGUCUUCAUCCUUGGAGGAGACCUGCCCACCUCUUCCUAUUCCCACCAGGCUGCAGCAUGGCUCACCCUGCACACUUGGCUCUUUCUCAUGUCCAUGCUGGUACCAAGCACAUACCUGGCAGGUGACAGAUCUGCAGCAGUCACCCUGUGCUCUGUUAGUAUGGACAAGGAUCCACAUUCCCUAGCUCGGCAACAAGCUCCUUUGCAGCUGCACUGCUCCCUGCCAAAGCCUCACCUGGCCCAUGAAAAACAGAUGCUAUGUAGUUUCUCUCAUUCACUGCUCUCUCUCCUUCUUUGUCCCUGCUAUCAGUCUCUUAGGAAUUGUAUGGAGACACCUACUGCAUUUCAGGUGUUAUUUUUGACCUCCAGCAGUGCUGGUGUCCAACCAGCAGGCACCAGGUGGUGGGCAGCUGCUGUGGGCUGUGGGGGUGGCUCAGACCUGGCACCAUUGCACUUCUUACAUUUUUCCUGAGCACGUGCCUCACUAAGACAGGAACAGCAAAAGGGAAGGGCAAAUCCCUCUCCACGGAAAUCUCCUUUAGAGAAGGAGCAACUCUCUUCUAAAAACAAGCUCACCUCUGCCCACAUGGCCUACCAGCCUUACAGACCCGUGAAGGUGUUGGGUUUCCUCCCUCAGGGUUUUCUGAAGCAGGAGGACAGCACAAGCUGGUAUUUUUGUGCAACAGUGGGCUUAGUGGGCAGUGAAGGAAGCUCUUCAGGCUGAGUAAAAAAGAAGUCUGGUGACCCUGAGGCAGGAGGAAAGGCUACUGAUGGAGGGGAUGGGAGAAAGAGUAGGCGAGGGCAGAAGGCACCUGGCUAAGCCUGGCCAGCACCCACAUUAGCAGACCUAUUUCAGGAGCAAGGAAGAGUACAGCUAUCUUUUUAGCUAGGAAUCAACAUGGCGGGCGUUUGGGGUACUUCCGUCCUUGUGUGUGAUUGUGCAUGUUUGUGUUGCUCUGGCUGAGUGUGGAGAAUGGAAUUGAGGAGGUAGGAAUGGCAGCAGGGCCCCAUGCAGUAAAGGGUAAGGGUAAGAGAAAAGCAGCCAGAUACAGUGUAUAAGGUGUUCAUUGCAAGACCACUGGCCAAGAAGGGCUAAUGCGAACCAAGUGAAGUGUACGCCAACUAAGACAGGCCACCUGGCUUGAAUCUGAGCCCGUCUAGUAAAAGGGUACUUAUUACUCAUUUAUUCCAAAACAUUGGAUGCCAACUAAUUGCAUGUGUGGUCUGAGUGGCCUGAAAAAAGGACCUUGGUCAGUGUUGGAGGAGCCAUCUGGACCAGCCGAGGCCCAAGAAACAAUAAUAAUGUGAACCAGCAGAGGUGAUAGUGUGACCUGGACCAUUUGGAGGUACAUUCAGGGCAAAAGUAGAAGAAGUAAAUGGUUCAAAUGAAUGAGCACAGGAAAGUGUAAGAUGAUGGUUAGGACUGUGGCAACCGCUUCUAGAAGGACAUGGGCCCAUAUUUGGAGAAAUGAGAAUUUGCCUGUAGAUGCUGCCUGCAGCUUCCUCGUGAAACACCAGAAGGUGGGACCAGAAACUGGAACCCAGGGCACUUACUGGAGACUGCUGAGACACUGGAUCAGAGAUCAAGAAAAUCAUCUCUGGGAGUUAUCAAACCUCAGUUGCUGAGCAUUCACAAGAGAAGAUGAAUCACAUUACAUUAUAAUGGAAGAAGUAAGCUUAAUGUUACUAUCUUAUCUGAAUAGCAAACACCAUAGAACAUACCAACCAUGGGUGACUAUGUAAAACUCUACAGAAUAUAACAGGACUUAGGAGCUUCAUUGAGAUGGAAUCAUCCAGGGAGGUUGUGCCCUGCCUUCCAGUGGCUGGAGGACAGAAGAGACUAACUUGGAUUCCAAAUGCCAAACUGUCUCCCAUUAUGGAGCUAAGGGGUCAUUUUCCUCUUGCCUAAGGCCAAUCUGCAAACACAGAGGAACACUGUGAGACCCGUGGGUCUGGCGACUCCUCCAUCUGAGGACAGAUCGUGGUCAAGAGAGGGUGGAUAGGAAUACCCACUGGCUGUGCUAUACAGUGCCAUUUCUUCUGUCUUUGCAACCUCCUAGUGGCUGCCUAUGCCAGUUAUCCUACAUCCUUCUGCACCUCAAGUGAUCUUAGAAGACUACCCUAUACAGAUGUGCUUCUGGGAAUGGCAUCCUGGCUACUAGGGUUACAAGAGAAGAGGCUUCUAGAUGUUACCACCAGAGGGCGAUGUUGCAUUAUGGAUGAGUGUGGGACUAAGUGUCACCUUCAGCAAAUGAGAGUUCGAAGAUGGAGCCCUCCUUGGGUACCAGAAGACAGCUAGACCUGCCUGCACAAUUUCCCUGUAGUCUGGAGAAAAGAAAGAAGCCAUACUUGUCCUCUUGCACAGCUCCCAGCCUCUCCAGCACCAUGGAGACCCUGCUGAAGGGUAUGUAUUUCUGCUGCCAUACUAAAGGAGGAGACUUUAACUAGGAGAAGGUUUAGGGUCAGAAGCCUUUUUCUAGCUGUAUUAUCUGGACCAUGUCUAACCAUUCUCAGCAUAUAUCCUCAUCUGCAGAACGGUAAAUAUAUACCUAUGCACUCUAGGGUUGCUUGAGGAUUUAAUAGAGUAUCUUACAUGAAACAGUGGCACAUACAAUCCUGCAUCACUCUCAUUACUCUAUUACAGGUCCUCUGAGAUUCUCAGGACACUGAGAUGGUCUUGGUGACAGCCAGACCUCUAUGCUCCAAUCCUUUGGUUUCUUUCCAGGAUCCAUCCAUUGCACAAAUCCUGUGUUCACCAAAAGAUGAUCAGCAAAACCUCCUUUCCCCAGUUCUAGGCUGAUAAGAUGACAAAACGGUCAGAAUUAUAAAUGGCAUGAGUGGGGCUAGGGAUUUAGCUCAGUGGCAUAAGCACCUGCCUUGGAAGCAGGCAGUCCUGGGUUCAAUCCCCGGUACCGAUAAAAAAAAAAAAAAAAAUGGCGUGAGCUUGAGAUGCCCAGGAAGGUUCAGGACUCCAGACCAUCACUGAGAGCCUCAAAUUGUACCCAGAUUCUUUGACCCACUCUACCACACUGCUGAGAGCAUUCAGGGAAACUUUGACCCACAGCCUCUGAUGGCAUCCAGGAGAGACACUCUAGGGCCUGCUCUGGAAAGAGAUGGGUGCCAUUACAUUGGCUGUCUUGUAAAUAUUUGAUAAGUAUAAACCCCAUAGUCAGUGCCUCAAAACAGACAGCCCAAUUCCAUUUGGCUUUGUAAUCCUCGCAGAAUUAAUCUGCAAGGCAAAAUGAGAGUAUACACUUGUUUAUCUGCGUCACCCUCACGAGAGGCCUAACAUCGCUCCUGUUCUCUUCAAGCCACAGCAUCUCUCACCUUGCACACUGUUCCCAUCUGCAUACUUGGGUUUGGAUCCAGGGACCUGAAAAUGCCAGGCAAGCACUGUAACACUAAGCCACAUUCCCAGCCCUUUUUACUUGUUUUUUUUUGUUUUGUAGCAGGGUCUCACUAAGUUGCCUGGCUGGCCUAGAACUUGUGAUCCUCCUGUCUCAGUCUGUGCAGCAUGCUCAGCCCUCUUUGAAGCCCACCCCAGUCCCCAUCCCAGACAUACUGUUAUCACUAACAGUGAGCAUCUCUAGUCAUGGAUCAGAGUCCGCAUCUCACGGCUCAGCAGCAAGUUUCCUCAUUGUGCUUCUCCCACCUGAAGCUUAACUGGUCCCUCACAAAUCACUCUAUUCUGCUCAGCUGUUCAGCAACCAUAUGGAUGCACUUGCUGUUCUGUAGGUGUCCUUUGCAGCCUCUGGAAGUGUUGACAGAGUGGACUGGUGCCGCAGGCUCUGGUGAUGGCCCAGAGUCAGUGCCAUCAUAUUUCUUACACAUUUUAUCUGAACGUAUACUUCACUAAGACAAGCAAAGCAAAACAAAAGAGCAAUCUUCUGCAUGGAAUUCUCUUCUAUGGAAGAGACAUAUCCCUUAAAAAAGGCACUUGCCUGUACCCAUGUGCCCAACAACAAUGAGGAUGUUGGCUUUUUUCUUGCAUAGCUUCUUGAAGCAGGAGGAUAGCAGAAGCCAGUGUUUGUAUGAUUUCAUUCAUGCAGAUGUGUGGUCUGCAGGGAGAGGAUAACCAGGUUUCCUCAGAACAGUUGGGGCAACCCAAGGAAAGAUGGGCCUCAUCAGGGAGGGAGGGUAGCUUCUCUGGCUGUGGGAACAAGAGCAGGACUAUGCAAAGACGCAAAAAGGGCACAGCUUUUGGGGAAAUAUGACUGACCAGUCAGAUGGAAGGGGUCAGGAGAGGUAGCAGAGGUGCAUGUUAUAGGAGCAGCAUGUAGAUUGGGUAGCGUGAACUCUUUGCAAAGAGCAAAGCAGGCUACAUAAUGAACUUUUAGCUUAAAACGUGUGUGUUGUAUCAUCUCUUGAUUUGUAGGUGGAGAACAGAUCAGAGGAGGCAGGAGUGGUAUCAGAUUUACUAAGAGGCAAGUGCAGCAUCUGAGCUACAGAAGGGCCACCAGGUCCAGCUGUGUAGCUUGCUCACAAGGGCUCUGGCCACCAAGGGCAAAUGUGAAUUAAUUCCCCCUACUGCACUUUCUAAGGCAUCAGCCUUUAGCCCUACCUAGGGCUAAGCCUAGCCAAGGGAAAGAACUUAUUUCUAAUGUUCUCAAAGGCCCUGUUUCUCCAGUACCAGGCAUCUAUGAUCUGUACUGCAUGGAGAGCCUUGGCCAGUGUUCACAAAGGAGCCACAGUAUCAGUAAAGGCCCAAGAAUCAAAGUGAUGACUUGGACUUAGCCAAUCAAGGCCUUGAGACCUGGGCCACUGUGGGUGUAUUUAGGGGCAGAAAUGGCAGGAGUUAGGAUAAUUCAAAUGGGAAUGAGCAGUAGAAAUGAGCCAGACAUGACAGCAGAGUUGUGGCGAGAAUGUCUAGGAGGACCACGGAGGAAGGCAGAUCCAGAAGUUUAGGACUCACCUGUAGGCACUGCCUUCAGGGUCUUCCUGAGACAGCAGGUGAGGCUGCAGCUGGAACCCAGGGCUCUUGGUAGAGUCUGAUGAGAUUUGGUAUCUUUGACACAAGAUAAGAAUUCAAUAUUUAACAUCAAAUCCUGGACGUGAGUCCCCAUGCCCUGUGGUUUCCAUGGCAUCACCAAAACCUCAGUUUACACUGAGGCUCUUCUUCCUUCCUAGGCUUAACUGUAUCAUCUGCAUUUCUGAGGCCUUUUAACAGCAACUAGGUUUUCUCUGUCCACACUGGUUACUUUAUUUGGCAGACAAUAGCUGAGUCCUUGCCAUGUGCCAGGUUCUGUGCUUGGCGUAAAGGGCAGCAGACACGGGAAGCAUGGCUGCUCCUCCAAGGAUGACACCCGGAAGAACUCAGGACACAGAACAUGGCAGAGACAUCUAAAUCCAGAAUCCCCUUAGUUAGAGGCUGAACAUGAUGGUUAGGGCUUUUAUAUUGCAAAUGUAGAAAAGUCACAUACAAAUUGCUUAAGAAAUAGAAGUGAUAGCCAGGUAUAGUGGCGCAUGCCUAUAAUCCCAGCACUUACAAGGCUGAAGCAGUAGGAUUGUUGCAGGUUCAAGGCCAGCCUGUGCUACACAGUGAGUUAAGCACCAGUCUGAACUACAUCGAGACCGAGUCAAUCCUCACCCCCCAAAAAGAAAGAACUAGAACUGUCUCAGUUUCUCCACACAGGGCCACAUUCUGUCUCUUUGCUCUGUGAUUCUAUAGCGUGUCUGUGUACAGGUGGCUCUAUGUUUUCAUUGAGGCUGGGAAGUUAGCAUAUGUGACACCUGUUGUAACUUUGAAAAACCUUUGUUUCUUUUGACUUCUAUUUUGGCUGAUCUACAAUGACCUUGCAUCCUGCCUGAGCUUCUGGAGCAGGGUGAAACCCACUGGCCCUAGUACCUCAGGACAUUUGUACAGGUAUCCUGAAACCCAGACAACUGUCCAUCCAGUCCCAGCAGAAAUUGCUCAUGCAAGGGAAUGAAGAUAGUGGAGAGGUGAAUGGCAGCAAAAGUCAGCCUCCCCAAGAUCCAGACUCCAGACACUGGGAAGUAACAAGUUUGGGAAGUAAAAAGGAGAAGUAGUUUUCUGGGAAGACGAAAGGAACUGACAGGAAAAUUAAAUGUUAUAGAGAAGUUAGAGAAAUGGACCCUACCACACAAAAGAAGGAAACGAAACAAUCUGGACUCUCUGACCAGAUCCUAACUUAUGGCUGAUGGGGAAAGGAGUCUGGCUGUGCAGAAGCAAACUGAACGCUCCAAGAGGAACUCUCAAAACAAGCAGAAAUAGCUAUUGUAUUUUCAGACAAAGUGGACUUCAAGCCAAAAGUGAUCAGAAGAGGCAAAGAAGCUCACUCACUACAUAUUAGUUAAGGAAAUAUUUUAACAGGAUGAGAUAACAAUUAUAAACAUAUCAGCACUGGUGUUUCCAGAGAAUCAGCCAUGCUGGAACUUGGGGGACCAAUCAAGAAAGCAAUGAACCAUUCUUCCUGGUAAGUGGAGAGAGCCAUGGGUGCACCUGGAGAGAACAAAUCAUUAUCUCUCAUGGGCCUACCUGCGUGCAGGCUAAGAAUCAAAUAUGCCCCAUCCCAGUUAGCAGCUGGAUGGUUUGGAGAUCAGCCAUGAUUGAUAACAACUAAGGUACACAAAGCAACUAAAUGCUUGUAUUGUUUGGUUGAUUAUGCUAACCUGGGGCCAGAAGUGUCAGCAUCUCUUAUUAUGCUUACAUUAUGCUUAGGAUGACAGUAUGCAAUAUAGCAAAUGUGGAGGAUUUUUUUCUAUCUUGUCUUUGAAGGCCAAUAUUGUUUUCAUUGUUUUGCUUUGUUCUGAUUAAUUGCUUUGCUCUAUUCAUUAUUCUGUUUUGAUUGGUUUUAUAGUGUUCUGUUUUUGGUUUGAUUUUUCUAUACCUGAUUGAAUGGACAACUAUUGUGAAGAUAACAAGAUAUACUAUGGUACGUAUUGUUAUCCUGGUAUCCUGCUCUGAAGUUCUGUACCAAUUUCACUGCAUUGUCCUGAUUGGCUUUGUUCUGUCUUGUUUUGUUGUAUUUUAUUAUAUUAAAAAACAUAUAAGCAUUGAACACCAGUGUACCCAACUUCAUAAAACAAACACCACUGGACAUAAAAGAUAAGAUAAACAUCAACACAAUUUUAUUGAGAGAACUCCGUGCCCCACUGUCACAAAUAAGUCAACUAGACAGAAAGUCAACAAAGAAAUAUGAGAGUUGAAUUCACUUUCAAACAAAUAAAAAAUAGGUUUUCAGCCCAGCAAAAAUGGAAUACACAUUCUUAGCAGCACAUGGAACUUUCUCUAAGGCAGACUACAUACGAUGCAUAAGUAAGUACAGAAUCAAAAUUAUCCCAUGUAUCAGAUCACUACACCAUGAAACUAGAAAUUCAUGGCAAAAGAAAUCACAAAAAUGAUACAAAUACAUGGAAACUAAUCAAAGCUCUCUUAAAUAAUCAAUGUGUUGAUGAAUAAAUCAAGGAAGACACCUAACAGUUCAUAGAACCAAACAAUAAUGGCAAUAUAACAUUAGAGAUGCUGGGACUGGGGAGAUAGCUCAUUGGCACAAGUGUCUCCCUGGUAAGGACAAGGUCCUAGUUUAAUUCCUGUGCCAAAACAAACAAACAAACAAAAAAAGAAGAAAAAAAAAUGUAAGAGAGACUAUUGAACAUAAUGAAAUGAAGAGGAAUUUUUAUGGCUGUGAAUGCCCACAUCAGAAUGACAGAGUGAAUCCAAAUAAAGAAUCUAUUAAUGCACUUCAAGGUCUUAGAAAAUCAAGAGAAAUCCAAACCCAAAGCUAAUACAAGAAAGGGUACUAUAAAGAUCAGUGCAGAAAUUAAUAAAAUUGAGACAAAAAUUACACAAGAUCAAUGAAUCAGAGAGCUGGUUCUCUGAAAGAAUAAAAUAAAUAAAUCCUUAGCUGAUCUUACCAAAAAAAGAGGAAAAGAAGAGACCCAAAUAAAUUCAAGUAGAAAUGAAAAAGGUAAAAUCACAACAGCCUCUUCGCAAACCCAGAAGAUCAUUACUAACAACUUUGAGAACCUGUAUUCUUAUAAAAUGGAGAAUUCAAAAGAAAUGGAUAGAUUCCUAGAUAAAUAUGAGCUACCAAAGCUGUACCAAGACUGAAAAUUCUGACUAAUCCAAUAUCAGGCAGUAAAACUGAGGAAAUGAUGAAAACCAACUGUUAUGGUUUAGGUCUAGAUAUCCUCCUAAAUACUUAGGUAGUCCCUGGGGUGGUUUUGGAAGGUGGCUCAAUCUCGAGUGUGUGUUGCUGGGACCGAGAGUGUGUGAUUACUAAAUCAGACCACUGAUUGGUUUGGUGUAGUUCUGGGUAGGAUUAAGGGUGCCUCAUCCUGGGUGUGAGUGCAACUGACUCUAAGGUUGGGGAGUUUGGAUAAGAUAUAAGGGACAGAACAAGAGUCCUUACUUGUUGCUUAUUGCUUGCUGUCUUCUGCCUGCCAUGGACUGCUUCUCCUCUAUGAUGUCCAUCUGCCAUGCCACCCCAGCUUGGAGCCAGCAAGCUUGUACUGAAACAUCUACAAAUGGUGGGCCAAACCUUUUCUCCUUUAAGUUUGGGUGUUGAGUAUUUCACAUCAGCAAUAAGAAAAUUAAGACACCUGCCAACUAAGAAAAGCCCUGGUUUCAACUGAUUCACUGUCUAAUUCUGCAAGAAUUUUAGAGAAGAUCUAACACCAGUGCUUCUCAAACUCUUUAGUGAUAUCAAUAGGGAAGUAGUACUCUCAAAGACGUUACUGGAAGAUAGCAUUACCCUCAUUUCUAAGCCAGACAAGGACCCAACAUAAAAAGAAAGUUACAGACCAAUCUCAUCAAUGAACAUAGAUGCAAAAGUCCUCAACAAGCUAUUGGCAAAUGAUGCAACAAAACAUCAAAAAGAUCAUACAUAAUGACCAAGUACAAUUCAUGUAAGGGAUGUACAAAUGGUUCAAGAUAUACAAAUCAAUGCAGCAUAUCAAAUAAAAAGAAACAAGCACAAAAACCACAUGAUGAUCUUGAUUGGUGCAGUAAAAGCCUUUGACAAAAUCAAAACAUCCAUUCAUGAUAAAAACCAUGAAGAAAGUUAUAGGAGAAGCUUAUCUCAAUGUGAUGUAAGCCAUUUAUGAAAAGCCAAUAGCCAAAAUCAUACUAAAUAAAAAGAAGCCAAAAGCUUUCCCUCAAAAUUAGAAAAAAGACAAGGACAUCUUCUAUCACCACUCCUGUAAAAUGCAGUGUGCAAAACAUUGGCCAGAUCAAGCAGGCAAGGGUAAUAAAAGGGAUAUGCAUACAGGACAUGGAGAAGUUGAAUUAUCAUUAUUUGCAGACGACAUGAUCUUCUACAAAGAAAACUCAAAAAAAAUUCUAGCAACUUUGGAAGUAUAGUGGGAUACAAAGUCAAUACACAAAAAUCAAUAGCAUUUCUGUAUACUGGUAAUAAACUCACUGAGAGAGAAAUUAGAACAACAAUAUUUUUCACAACAGCAUCAAGAAAAAUACUUUGGUAUUAACCUAACUAAGGAUGUGAAAGACCUCUACGAUGAAAACUAUAGCAAAACCUUACAAAGACAUCAAAGAGGACAUCAGAAAAUGAAAGGAUACCCAUUGUUUCUGGACAGUUAGAAUCAAUAUAGUCAAAAUAGCCAUACUUCCAAAAUUUAUACAUGUUUAAUGCACUCCAAUCACAAUAAUAAUGACAUUCCUCAUAGAACUAGCAAAACAUUGAUAAAGGUCAUAUGAAACCAGAAAAGACCUAGAAUAGCAAAGAACAAGGCAAGAACAUUACAAUUCUAUACUUCAAGUUACGCUGCAAAGCUACAGUGAUAAAAACAGCAUAGUAUUGGGGGUGGGGAAAGCCAGACAGGUGGAUCAGUAGAACAGAAUAGAGGAUGCAAGAAACAACUCCAGCCACAUUUGGCUAGCUGAUAUCUAACCAGGGGGCUGAAAACUUAAACUGGGGGAAAAGUAGUGUCUUUAACAAGUGGUGCUAAGAAAACUGGCUAUUCACAUGCCAAAGAUUGAACCUAGACCUGUAUCUCUCAUCAUAUACUAAAUUAAAAUUGAAGUAGAUUAAAGACCUACAUAUUAAAACAGAAACACUUAACCUCUUAGAAGAUAAAAUAGGUGAAACUCUUGAAGACAUAGGUGUAAGCAUAGUCUUUCUGAGUAGACCCCUAAUUGCCCAAGAAAUAAUAUGAAGAAUUAGUAAAUGUGAUCAUAUCAAAUUUAAAUGCUUAUACACAGUAAAAGAAAUAAUAGUGUGAAGCGACAACCUAUACAAUGUGAAAAAAUUUGCCAAUUAUUCAUCAGACAGAGGAUUAAUAUCUAGAACAUAUAAAGAACCAACACCCCAAACAAAAGACCAAAUCAAAACUAAGCCACUGAGAUGAAUGGACAUUUCCCAAAGGAAACAGCACAACUGGCUAAUAAGUAUGUGAAAAAAAAAUGUUCAGCAGGAGCCAGAUCCAAGCCUACCUCUGUGAGUCAGCAUUGUUUGUGGACUGCGGAAGAAGAGAAACAUGACCCACAGGGAGGAGAUUCCCCCUCCUGGAAACAUAUCAUUGUCAUUGCUUUUUCUAUUGGGUUGAGGUUUAUUCUCUUUUAUUUUAUUAUGCUAACUCUGAUGGCAUAAGCAGCUAUUUGAAAGAUAGCAAGACAAGGACGGGGAGAACAUGGCGGACAGACAACAGCAACUACUGAACGCUCUCUAAAGGCUCGGCUCAGAGGCCAGGAAUGAUGCGGACUAAGGAGAUACGAACCAGUAGAGAUAUGCUCUGUUGACUCAGGAACGAACUGGGCUGAGAGAAUCCAACUUGGAAUACAGUCCUGGCGCUAAAAUAGGAACAGAAAAAUCUCGGUGUGGAGGCUCGACUCCGCGCCAUUGGAAACCGCGGUUUGGAUUUCCCGCCGCCCGGCGGCCGGCUGCCUCCAUAGCGGCUCGGCAAGGAGAGACACGCAGAGGCUUGGAAACGGGAGUCUGCGAACGGAGUCGGAAACGCGACGGACAGGGAGGAAGGCUGACUGGUGGCGAGGUGAGCGAGGAACUGACUCCCUACCGCAGGUUGACUCCAGCGGAGGUUUUUCUGGGCGCGGGCAGUCCUGUAAGAGCAGGGCGCGGUGGCAACUGCAGCCGCAUGUUUCCCUCUCGGACGGGAUUGGUGAAAGGUGCCUGACCGGAGGGACGUUGCUGGCGGACUCCCUAGGCUGGCCUAACCCAGAUCCCAGAGCCUGACGGUGGCCCGGAGGAGUGACCGACUCCCGCAUAGGCUGCCUCCUCCGCAACUCCCUGGGGCGCAGCGGUGAGCGGGAACAACUAGCCAGCGCAAUUUGAUCAAGCUGUGGCUGACAGGCAGGGAAGCCGGGCCUCCUGUGUAAGAUUACAUUUUAUAAGGAACAGAAAAUAUGGGGAAGGGAAGCAACAAAAAAGGCUCCUCGACCCCCAAUCCUGAGAAUCAGGCAGUGGACACUGCACCAAUAUACAUUAAGCGCCAUUUAGAGAGCCUCAUAGACCAAUUCAGGAAUGAAGUUAUCAAUGACCUGAAGCUAGAAGUAUGCAGAAUAGUUAGAGAAAUGCUAAGCACCACCCAGGAAAAAGCAGAUGGUGGAGUGGAAGAACAGAAAAAGAGGGGAGAAUUGCUUGAUGGAGAAAACAGAGAAAGCAUUGAGUAUGUGAAGCAGGUGCAAAGGGACUAUCAAGAAAUCAAGAAGUAUACCCAAGACUGGCAUAACAGCUUGAAAGAAACUAAGGACAGACUAUCUGAAUUGGAGGGCAGACUUGAAACAUGGGAGAAUGAAAUGAAAAACUUCUUAAAAAUAACAAAGAAACACACAGCAAUAAUACAAAGACAAGAAGAUGAUAAGAGGAGCCAUAACUUAAGGAUUAAGAACAUAAAAGAAGAAGUAGGGACACAAACAAGUGAACUACAAAAGCUACUCACAGAAAUAAUCCAGGAGAAUUUUCCUAAUUUAGCAAAAGGUAAAGAUACUCAAAUGUAUGAGGCAUACAGGACCCCAGCUACCUACAACCCUAACAGAGAAACACCCAGGCAUAUAAUAAUAAAAAUUCCAGAAAUUCAAUACAAGAACAGAAUAUUAAAAGCUGUAAGAGACAAGAAACAGAUCACUUACAAGGGAAGACCCAUCAGAAUUACAGCAGAUUUCUCUUCACAAACCAUCAAAUCACGAAGAGCAUGGGGAGAAAUAAUUCAAGCUUUGAAAGAUAAUAAUCUCCAGCCAAGAUUGAGAUAUCCUGCACAACUGUCCCUGGAAAUUGAUGGAAAAACGAGGUGCUUCCAGGAUAAAGAGGAACUGGGGGAAUUUGCAACCACCAAUUCAACCCUACAGAAAGUAUUGCAGGAUAUUCUAAAAAAAGAAAAAUACAAAGAACCCAGAAAUAGGGGCGGGGAGGCCACAACGAAUGGAGCAGAGAACAAAAUGAAGAAGACAAACUGACAGCUACUGACAGAAAAAGAGCUCAACAGAAAUGAGACAGAGAAGAUUGGAUGAUAGGAACAGCUUUUUUUGGAGAAAAUGACAUCUUAAUAGGUAAUGCUGAUUUAGUACCAUCUUGUUUUGAAGUCUCAUCUAGCUUUUGUUCUUCUGUCUCCAAUGGUCUAAACAGGUUGUAUCUUAUUGGAUUUUGUUAAGUACGAUAGUAUAAGAAAAAACCUUUUAAAGACAAGGAGAUUAUACAGAGACCAUUGUUCAUUUUCUGUUAGUCGAUUCUAAAUACUCUAUAAUGCUGUCAUUCUCUUAAAUGGAUUUACAUUGUUUUGAUAUACUUAAUGCUACAGUAUAUGAAGUUGUACUCAAGGACUUCAGGGAGGGAGUCAAUAUGGUAACUAUUUUUGGGUCAGGAUUAUCUGGUGGUGAAACACUAUUCUGCUUAAAUGGUUAUGUUUUGAUCUGCCCUGUUUCGCUGUUAUGCCCUCUUUUCUCUCAAUCUCCACUCCAUUAUUUACUUUUUUAUUUUUAUCCAUUUAAUUAAAGGGAAAAAUAUAGCAGGAUAUAAUAUAGUAACCCACUUUGACUUUCUAUUAUCUCGAAUUGAAGCCCUGUGUUACUCUCACCAUCUUGUUUUUGACUGAGGUUCCUCUAUUCUGUUUUGCUGGAUAGUAUCAGGUUCGAAAGUUUAGGCAUCAGCUGAGAAGAUAAUGAGAUUCAUUAUAACGCCCAUUCUCGUUGACUUUUAUCUACUUUUGAAGACCUACAAUAUCUCCAAUGUUUUGGUUUUGUCGGUUUUAUUCUUUACGGUUUUGUUCAAUUGUAUUACAACUAAUGAUAUAGGCAAUUCUAUUAGAAAUAGCGGGAGGCAUUAUGGUAACCAUUGUUGAUCACCUUGUAUUAUGUUUUUAUAUUAUCUAUUAUGUCCACCCUUUUGACUUGACCGAUUCUGUUCUGUUAUGUCACAUUUGGUUUUACUCUCUUCCAAAAAAGCAACAAGAACCGUGGGAGCAAUGAAACCCAAAAUGUGUAAUAGUCACUGUACAAAAGAGAGGAAAAGAAAGUGCUCUAAACUAUAUAACUGCAUGUAUAUUUAAAUGUAUAAGAUAGAAAAUGAUAUCACAGAGUUUUAUUGGAUCAUUGAACAGAACUGUCUGCAGUAUCAUUGUUGGAAUGUCCACUCUACAAGCUUUAAUUUUGUGACUUGAACAAUUAUUUCUAAGAUGGCAAUAUGUAAUCCAUUAACUAGUGAUUUCCUACUGUGCAUUUUUUUAUUCUGUAAAUCUGUAUAACUUGUACCCCUUCACUGUUUUUUUUUCUUUCUUUUCUUUUCUCCUUAAAUAAAAAUUUAAAAAAAAAAAGAUAGCAAAACAUGUUAUGGAAGCCAUUGUGUAUUUACUACUGGUUUGUUUUGAGAUUCUUUAUUGCAUUCGUUUUGUUUUUAUUGUUUCUAUUCUAUCCUAUAUGUCCGAAGGUGAUAUCUAGAGCUAUUUUGAAGCCGACAAAGGCAUUGUGGUAACUAGUGUUGAUUCAAAAGGUUUGAAAGUCCUGUAUCAAUUAUGCUGGUUUAGUUAGAUUGAUUUCAUUGUUUUAAUUUCCUUGUUAUUUUCCUCUUUAAAAAAAAUGUUCAGCAUCACCAGCCAUUACAUAAAUGCAAAUUAAAGCCACACUGACUUUCUCUUUCAUUCCAGAAAAAAUGACCAUCACCAAGAAAUCAAAUAAUAACAAAAACUGAAAGGUUUCAGGGGAAAAGGAACCUUUCUACAUUGUUGUGCCUUGUUGUUAGACACAUGAAACCACCUCAGAAAGGCAGAAUGGAGCAGAGCCUCCCACUGUAUACCCAUCCCACUAUUAAACACAGUAGGCUCAGGUGUAUCCGGCCAGGAACCACAGGAAAACGAGCAGAAUGAGGCUGGAUACAAUGACCAGGAGCCAGGAACCAGAGGCCAGGAAUACAGAGAGGAGCACCGCAAAAAUGAACAGAAGGGUUUGGGGCAGAAUCAGCGUGUAGCGGAAGGUGGCAGGGAUAUGCUCCAACGAGCCACUGGAAAACAAGUCCAGGACGGUUUUUCUGUCACUCUCUUGAUACUUGCGAAUCUGAUAAGAAGCCAUGUUAAGAUUUCUGUGCCUAAAAUCCCAAAGACCAGGAUAAAUGGCUAGAUCUGCCUGUGUACCUUGCCUGCAGCCCUGGAAAAGAAAGAAGAAGAAGUGUCCACACAUUUCCGAGCUCCCUGAGGGGCACAGAGACUGCUUUCAGCUGUCAUCCAGGGGAAACAGGAAAACAUCACUGAGAGAAAGUUUGGAGUCAGAAAGUUGAUUGAGAUCCUUCACCUGUGUGAACUGGUCAUGGCACUUACCCUCUCUGAGCCUAUGUCUUCGUCUGUAGAGCAAGGUAAAAUAACACCUGUCUUCUAGGGUUCCUUUGAGAAUGUUAUAUAACAUAGCUGGGCAUGGCAUCAGACACCUGUAAUUCCAGGCUGAAUUGGGAGCCUGAAGCAGGAUCAUCACAAGUUUGAGGCCAACUUGAACUAUAUAGUGAGACUGUCUUGAACAAAAAAAAUCAUAUCUAUAUCUAUAUUUUCUGUCUAUAUCUAUAUCAGUGGAAUAUCUAUAUAAUCUUAUAUGAAAUAUUGGUAAAUCAAA